GGAAAGGAGGGGAGAGAGAGACAAAGAGAAGACAUAGAGAUGGAUAGAAAGAACUAGAGAUGGGGGAGAGAGAGAGGAUGAUCCAAAGCACAUUCUAAGUGGGCUCCAUUUUCUGCCUUGUACGCACUAUCUUCUCGGAUUUGUGGCACAAAGCAUGAUGGGAAGAAGACUAGGAGGAAGAAGGAGGGAGGAAGGAGGAAGGAGGGGGUCUAUUCACAUGCCUGAGAUGGGGCUUUGGUGACACAGGAUAGAGUUUGAGACGCUUCCUUCCUUUAGGUGUCCAAGGUCUGCUCAGCCAGGUCAUUAUCUGUGUGCAAAGGGGGAAAAGACUUGGGAGACCUCAGUUCCGCUGUCAGGGGAAGGGGCAGACUAGGAUUAAAUCACAUUGUUUUUCAGCUGUUUGGGUGAACUGAAUGAGUCAAGGAGCCUCCACCUCUUCCCCGUGUUUUGCGUUUGAACUCUAGACUCCGUGACUUUAGACAGUCGUUUCGUCCUGAGUUCCAGAGCCACACAGCAGCCAGACCAUUUGGUGUGCUACAGAAGGGACUUCUGCAGAGUUUUAUGCUGCACCCUGCCCCGUGAGAUGGCUAAGCCUCAGCAGGGCUGUUCUGCAUUGCGGCCUGGGACCUCUGUGCUCUCUGCUCUUUGAGUAGCAGCGGAUGAGAGGAUGGCUGAGCGCUGGUGUUCUAGAUGCCUCCAGCAGGCACUGUGGCGUCAUUCAGCUUGAGUGGGGCUGGUGGAGGGAAAGUAGAUCAAAGUAGAGCAGAGACCAAAGGUGACAGGGAAGGUCUGCAGCAGGUGCCAGGCAGAGGACACCUUCUUUCUGAUGUAGUGGGCAGCAGGGGCGGUGCAUGUAGGUUUUCCCAAGCCUCAGCAUGUACCAUCCGGCUGGGAUGCUGGCCUUGCUUCCCUUAAACACCAACUCUGCUCGGAUUCUAUGGGGUUAGCCUGCUGCAUCUGACUCCCUCUCACCAAAAAGUGUCCAACUGCUCUGGGGAGAGGAGAACCCCAACUGUUUGUCGCUGUGUUGGGACGAUGGGUAUUUUUUUCUUUCUAAACUGCAUGGGCUGUAAGUUACUUUACAAUAGAAAUAGCAGUGCAGAAGGGGAGAGCUCAAACCCAGGUUUCCCUAAAGUCCAUCAAGGCUUAAACAGGCUCACCGUCACCAAUGCAUGCAUUACAAAAACACUCUGUGGUAAUGAGCUCAUUACCAAAGAAUGUGGAUUCAUUUCCCCGUCGGGAAAGUGAUUGCUGAUUUAGCUUACGUUUUUGUUGAGAUGAUGUCUAUUUAUCAAGUUAUUUUACGUCUAUAUUUUAUUGGUUUGUUCUCAUUAUGUGCAGUACUGGGUUCCAUAGGAACAUUUCCUGCAGCUGUACAAUGUACCCCUCCCCCACACUGCUUGGUUUCUUCCCCCUCCUCUUAGUCCCCAUGUUUCCUGGACAGUCUCACUUCUACUGUCAUCGUGAUAGCCACAUACAUUACACACACAUGAUUUUAUGAAUCUGCAAAUGAGAGAAAAUGGGAUAUCUGCCCUUUACAAGUGAAUUGAGUUUAUCUAAUGCGAUGAUCUCUAACCAGAUCAUCUUAUUUAUUCUCAAAAUUUGGCAAAUAACAAAUACCAUCUAAUUUUUAAAAGGCUUUUGAAGUGGUGUUGAAGGCACAGGGCUGGGAAGGAAUCCCCCUCAGACUGGGGGCUGCACUUGAAUCUGGUGAUUCUUCUGCCUGGAAAUCACGAGGCCGUGCUAGUUUUUAGUGCAUAGGCACGCGCUACCCUCACUGGGGCAGCAGUCUGCUAGCUGGGAAACAAAAUGGGACCCAGUGAGACCAUUGAUUUUCCCCGUCACCGAGGAAGUCACCAUGUCCUUCCUGACAACCUCAAGUUGCAAAAAUGUAAUUACCAUUUUGGCCUGGCUCUUCCCCACUCUGGAUGGAUGACCUGGUGGCAAACUGCAAAGGUUAUUUAGAGUUCAGAGGACCUUACUCGUCCAAUUUAUACGUAUUAAUAGGAACGAUGAGAUGAGUUCUUCAGCAUUAGGUGCAGGUGGGUGGGACUUGGCAGCAUUGGAAUCUCAAGUUCCAGGCUUCCGUGGAGAUGCGGAGGAGGAAGGAAUUGUCUCCUUCACUCCUGCCUGCGGUGAGGUGGUGCCAGCCCUGCUGUGGUUUUGCGCAGUGCCCGGAGUCAUUUGUUUGCUGUUUCUCCUGGCAGGCAUUCUGGUGGGACUGAACACCUCUCCAGAGCUGGGCUCUGGUCCUGUGACUAUUCUGCAGAGCCACCAGAAUCAGCACUCUGCAGAGAGCCUGGCCACCUGAGGAGACAGCUAGGAGGGAACAUUCUGUAGGCGUGAGAAGGCGACUCUUAAAUAAUUACGCCAUAGAAGGUUCUGGACACACAGCAACACCUUUGGAGCUAAGAGCCACAGUAGAUUGGCAAUCUUAGGCAUGCGGCUCUGAGGAACCCUUGUAGGCUUGGUUGGAAGGGUUUCAACCUCUUUUGACCUCCAUGGUGCCCGGGUAAGCUCAGACUCGCUCACUUGUAUUUCCGGGGACCAGUAGCCCAGCUCCACUGGGCCCUAAGCAGAACUUCACAUAGCCCUGGCCAAGAUGGUCAGUCUGGAGUCCAGCUUGUGGGAGGAGGCAAUUUAGCUUCUUCCAUGAGCUCUCGUGGGCGUAAAAGUCUCAUGCUGGAUUCAAGGUCAUGACCUGAGUGGAUGGGGUAUGAUUGAGAGGGGGAUGCAAUCAGAAAGAGAAGAUGGCUGCACAAGGGAGACACAGCCUUACUGAGCUGGCUUCACUGCCUUCCCCAGGGAAUAUGCAGCAUGAUCCGGAGAAAUACUUAGUUGGCACAUCUGGAAUGGGGGUGCUCUUGGCAUCUAACGUAUAGACUGGGAAUAGCGCUAAGUGUUCUGUGAUUUCCAGCCUCCCCGACAAAACACCAUCUGGGCGUGGUGGCUCACAAAUGCAAUCCAAGCUUCUCAGAGGCUGAGGUUAAAUUUGAGAUCAGCCUGGGCUCUAUAGUGAACCACAGGCUAGCCUGAGCUACCAUGUAAGACUUCCAUCUCCUAAAAAAUUAUGCCUAAACCAACAUCAAUUGUGCAAAGGCUAAGAAAGCCAUCUUUAAGAGGAAGGAGUAGGACAUUUUCAGGACACAUAUUUUGACCCUAUUUGAUGGAGUUAAAUCUUUACGUCCCUGCCAGGUUUUGUUGAGCUUUUUUGUUUUGCUCUUUUUUGUUUCUUUUUUCCCAAAAUGGCCUGGAAGAAAUUGAGGUGCCGUUUUGAUUGAGAUCAGGCAAAACCACAUUGCCCCAUGAGCCUUCAAGAAUGGAGCCAUUGUUCACGUAAAGGACACUGAAGCAUUCUCUUUCAAAAAGGAAAAAAAUGGUAAAGCAGCCAAAGGAGAAAAUGGCUAAGGUUGAGGAAGGAUUUGGGUUUGACCCAAGGAGUCACAUGUCCCUGUGCUUAAGGAUGAUAAGAACUUUCCCUAAGUUCCCGGUGAACACGGAAAGCCACAUUUAUGGCAUGCCUUUAGAAGCGGAGUGUAGUGUAUGUCUAAGCCAGGGACACCAUGGGUACAGCCCUGGCACCCAGAACAGGACAGGAUGGAUGGUGUUUCAGUGUAGUCCGUGGUCCCUUGACUUCUCUUGUGCAUUUUGGAGAACAAACGAAACGACUGCUGUUAUUUUUUCUUACUGUGCAGUUUUCUGCUUUCUCUUCCCACCUGUCCCGUUUUCCAUCUGCACCAUUGAGAGCCAUGUGUGUUUGGGAUCCUCCAUCCCAUCCUUUGUCUCUGUGGUCCUCUCUCUUUCCUUCCUAGGACCCAGAACAGAGACUCAUCCCAAACACUGUGCUCUGUGAUCCACAGGGGUUCUGCCCGGGACCAAUUCCUCUUCUGACCCCAGUUGGCUCAGGAAACUGCAACCAGAUUGGUGUCGAAUCUCCCUGUCCUGUUGGGUGGCAUUGCUGUGUCUAAUUUUCUGACCAAUAUUAUUAUCCUUAGAUCUUCCUUGAUCUUCCUCCAAAUCUCUCCUGCUUGCCCAAGUUCUCUGGUUGAGAUUAGUAUUUCCCUUGGAGUUUCUGGACAGAUUUGAUUUUGUGUAUGUGUGGUCUUUGCCCCGUGUUUGUGUGCAGAUGGAGGAUAUAAUUUUUUGUGGUUUCUCUGCAAAGCUUUGAUAAAAAAGAAUAAUGAUCUCUUUUUUCUUCCUUCCCCAAUGUUCCGUAACCUUGUGUUUUCCACUCUUAUUUCUCAAUAUGAGUACUGGGUACAGCGUUUGUGUUCCCGUGGGGGCUACUUAUUGUCAUUUGGAUAGAAAGUCUAUGCCCUGCGUAUAGACUGUUAACACCUCCCAAGGCCGACCUGGUUUGGCUUGGCUGAAGUUAGACUGUGCAUAGCUUUGUGUAAACCUCUCACAGAGUGCACACCUUCCUCUUCACGAAGUUCUAGAAUUGUCUUUUCUGCGAGGCUAUUUUUUAACUAAGUGCACGUCCAGGAACCCGGUUCUUGCUGCUUCAUUCAGUGUGUGUGAGACCUUAGGUAGGUCACGUGACCCUUCUAUGGACCACUCUCCCUGUUUGUAGGAUGAUAUAAAAAAAAUAUGGACAGUGCAAGGGUCUCGUGAGAGACAAACAAGAUGAAGAGUGUUAUUUAGAAUGGCUGUCACCUAAGCUGUCAUUUCAUAACUAUCAACUAGGUAUAGCUAUGUUGGUAAUCGUGAUACCAAGAAACUUCUGGAAUCCUUGAACCUUAAUGUUGAGAACUGGGACUCUCAAUGUUUUCUUCAUCUGAGCAGGCCCGAGUGUAGCCUUAAGCUGGGUGGCUGUGCUUAUAGAUGUGUGCCAUGCCUGUUCACAUAGAGCCACUCUGCCCAUGAACCUGCCCAUCCUCAUCAGCUUGUCCACAAUACAGCCAUUCUCACUGGCGCUCUUUUUCUUAGUUACUCCCAAAUGCUAGGAAGCAUGGCUGGUUUUCUGCUGAUGUCAUAUUCUUGCCUUCCAGUAGCACAAUUGAUUCACUAAAUUCAUCGUUGAGGUUUGACUUUAGAUGUGGUCAGGAAAGCAUAAGAUGAAAAGGCUUGGUGUAUCUGCUCUCUCUUUCUUUAGGGGAUACUGCCUUGUCUAGGCUUGGCUUCCCCUGAAGCAGGGGCACAGACAUUUUGUACCUUGUCUGCAGGUCUCCACUUUUGUCUACACUCUGCUAGGCUGGAGCAAGCACCUGGGGAAACUUCAGCCAUUCUGGAGAAUUUGACUGGGUAGGUGGUCAGUGUUUUCUGUACCUUUCUUCUGGAGCCCUUUUCUUGUCUAGCUAAUUUAUGGAAUGGGGCUGUCUAAGUAGCCUGUCUAAGAGAAUUUACACGUAUUGGGUACAUUCCCAUAAUCUCCUGUAAGCAUUUGUGGGAAUGUGAGCGGCUGUGUCUGUCCACUUAAGAUUCUUCAUAUCCCGAAGAGAUUCAUUGAACAAAAAAAACAUGGGCACACUGGCUCCUUUAAUCUUUUUUUUUUUGGUUCUUUUUUUCGGAGCUGGGGACCGAACCCAGGGCCUUGCGCUUCCUAGGUAAGCGCUCUACCACUGAGCUAAAUCCCCAGCCCCUCCUUUAAUCUUAAUAAGGGGAUUCUAGGACAUCAAGGACCUAGAAAAACAUCAAGGGUGUAGAAGAUCUUGGUGGGGGGGGAUCUUUUCAUAAGACGAGGUCUCACUGUGUAGCCCUGACUGGCCUGGAACUUGCUAUGUAGAUCAAGCUGUCCUCUAGCUCACAGAAACCAGCUUAGCCCUGCCUCCUGAGCGCUGGACUGAAAGGCACGCACCACCAUAUUCUCUCUAUUAGGCUAUUUCAUAAACCCAGUUACAGCACCUGACAGGGAAGCCAGACCUCCAUAAAGAUGUGAGAGGAAGGCCAGAGAGCCACGGGCAAAGGAGAGAAGGCUCAUAAAGAGAAAACAGACUCUCCUGAGCCUCCAUGCAGACAGCACAGCAUCUAGACCUCCAGUUCUAAGCCACACUUGCAGGUAAACCCAGAACUCCCACUGCCCCUCAAAAGCUUCCUUCAGCUGCACUGUCUUCAGGAGAGCCUUCAAGCUGGAGCUGAGACUGGCAUUCUGCUCCUUCUUGAACUGUACUUAGAUGUACUUCUCUGUAAGCACACAGCUACUGGGAAAGCAAGCACUAUUCUAUUUCAACAUCUGUAGCUCACAGGCCACCAGGGAGCAGAGAAGAAGUAUAAGUCAGAGAGUCAGGUGCAGUCUGUUUGUUCCUGCUGGGACCUGCUGACUCCCACCUCUUUGAAGAUUCUUUGCCUCAGGGGUUUUUAGAUUAGUUCUUAGGCCAGCACAAAAGUUCCUUCACUGUUUACCUCUGCUCAAUUUCUCUCCAGAACCUCAAGUCUAUAAACUGGUUUUGUCAGGCCCAGCGGCUAGAGCCAUGAGAGUUUAUGUAUAGGAAUACAGUUUAUAUUCUCCUAAAACUCCAUGAGGGGAAGAGAAGUGCUUGCUGGUGGCAGAACAGAUGUGGGGCCCUAGACAAGGGCUGCCUACCUGGGAUGGCUGAGAGGUUGGGUAGAUGAGGCAUGCUAUAAGGAUACCAAGAAGGCUUCUGGGAACACGCAGAGCCUAAAUGCCAUUAGGACUCAGUGGACAUCCUGGGAAGGGAGUGAGCAGGUAUGAAGGCCGAAGUGCGAGAGAACUUGGGGUCACUGUCAGGUGACCCUGUAUGGAGAGAGAGCAGGAAGGGGAGAGGACCCUGGGCAAGAAGAUGGGUGCGACUAGGUGAUGAGAGAGCAGAGGCAUGUGGCACGACAGCCUGGCACACAGAGCACCAACGGGCUUUGACAAGUAGAUGAGAGGGAUGUGUCUAUGACUCUGUGAAACUCACUCCACUCGAGCAAAUGCAAAUUGCACAAACAUACAGAUGCACCUAGGACCGCCACCCUUCCUUGGCCAAAGUCAAGUAAGCAUCAAGGACUCUCAUGUGCAUAAGGGAUGUACAUGCAAACAGGAAGCUGAUGGUAGAUCGGGACUCUAAAAUCAGCUUCUUCAACCCAUGGCUGGGAACUGCUCCCUCUCUACUCUUUGUCUAGGGUAGAUCCAUGAAGGGGUAUUGUGUAGCGCAGGAAGAGAUUUGUGACUGAAAGCAGAAAGGCUCUGGCAGAGAGUGUUGGGGACAUGCAGAGUAAUGGGGACAGAGAACAGUAGAAAUGUGAGGCCCAGCCAGCAUGGACGCCUUUGCUCAUUUUUGAACCUGGAGCUGAGUGAGCAUGUGGCUGCCUGCUAGAAGGAAAGGUACAGGAGACCUUAACGAUGGCUGUUUGGUUCCUGUCAGAGUGCUCACACACCGGAGAAAUCCCCAGAUUUAUGCAAAGUGUUUGACCGCAGAGGAGAGUGGAGUUUGGGGAGUAAUGUUGUCAAUGGUGAGUCCAGGAAAGCUUGGCUCAUAAUGUGGAGAGGAUCCUUUGACAGUGCUUCUUUGGGAUAUGGAAGUGUCUAUAUUCUCUUCUCUGGGCUGAUAUUGUAAAGUACCCAAAAUAUGCCAAGAAAAGUCUUUAAAUUUCCUGAGCCCUGCCUUUCCUUUCAUCCCUUACUUGGGGAUGAAGAGAUGGUUUCCUGUAGAAACACACACACACACACACACACACACACACACACACACACACACACACACCUAAAACCAAGCCUCGGAACUUAUGUAACUUGGCCAAGGCUAUACAAGAAGCAGACUAAGCAAAGACACGAGUCCACAUAGUCAAAACCAAACCAUAGGACUCUAACACGUGCCCUGGGAUUUCUCUCUAGUUAACUAGCUGGUUGGUUAGGUGACAUGAGCAGGGGUGAGUAUGUUGUCAGAGUUGCUCAAAGAAGAAAGUAUCUAAGAUGUUUCUGCACGCUCAUAUAGGGUAACAACAUAGUAAGAAAAAUCGCGCAAUGUUAUUUCAAGUAACGUCCGUGUGGAUAACUCAAAUGGUUGAGAAGCUACCGAGGAGACUGUCUUGGUAACCAAGCCUGUAUUGGCCAAAGAAGGGAAGGGAGAAAAAGAGGCUGAGGUUGUCUGUGUGCCAGAGAACUCUCCACAGAGAGUGCAUCAGUGCAGGAGAGGGUCACAAAGCAAGGAGUGCGCAGGAGUUAAACUGUGCGCCCUGCAUCCACUCUGCUCUCUCACAGUCUGGCCAAUGUGAGUGUCACGAACAUGUUCCCAGAACUCUCCUGCAGGCUGUGGUGUCUCUAAAGGCUUGAGAGGUCUGGAGGCUCUGUUCUCAGCCUUGCACUGACAGGAAGAACUGGAAAGAAACACCACCAUUAGCUGGCCCAUCUCCUACCCUUGACAGCUGUGGAAAUAGUCUCAGAAAAAGGGGGGUACCAUUCAGCAAGUACAGAACAGGGAUGGAAACAGGUGCCUUCCCCCAAGUCCUGCCCAAUAUCUUCCCCUGAGCUAAUAAUAGUUUGUCUCCCUCCACCCCUCUGAUAGCUCUCUCUGUGUCUCUCAUGCUGGUUCCUGGAUUCGUUUUCUCCGUAUCUGUCUCUUCCACCAUCCAUGUCUGACUUCUAUCUUGCCUAUCUCCUGUUCCUCAUGUAUCUUCCGAUUGAUAGAUCAGUUUCUUUCCUCUUCAACUUCAUUGUUUUUUGUCUCUUCUCCUCCUUUGUACACACACACACACACACACACAUACACACACACACACACACACACACACACAUGGACACUCGGACACUCGGACAUACGGACUCACACACAGAUACACAUACAUACACAGAGAGAGGGGGGGAGACUCUGGCUCGUGUUUUCUUUAGAUUUAGAGAGAGACAGGCUGGCUCCAUGUGCUCCCCCAUCAGGAGUGCUAAAACCCAGCCCAUCUGCUCAUUAUUUGAAAUUUUGCCUUACGGAGAAAGAGGGCAGCUAGCUAGGAUGCCUGUCUUUCCCCACUCCUCUCUUUGAACACAGGGAAGUGAUUUCUUCUUACCGAAUCAGCACAUUAAUAUACGCUUGGCUGGGUCGUGGAUGUCGUAUUAACGCUCUCCUCUUAGAGGGAUCACCGUCGUGGCAAUUGCCGAUGGCCACUUCAUGAAAUUCUGAUGACUGAAGCGAUGUGUGCUAGUCGUGGCUUAAUCACUAGCUCACAGACAUCCGCUCUCCUCCGCUGUGCUGUUUGCCCAGAUUGGGCCACGGAGAUGUUGUCAAUAGGAAAACGGAGGUUGAAGUUGGAGUAGUUCGGUGAGCAAGCUUUGGGGUGGGGUUUGAGUGUGUGGGCUGCCCAAGACAAGAAGCUUAGAUUUCCAGUGAGGGAGGUGGUUUUGGAAAGCUGGAAUGGAUGGGAGUCCACAGUGCUCAGAGAUCUAUAGGUGAGCAUUUCAGAAGGCCUGCUGAAACAGUCUUCUUUCCCAAUGGUGUUGUGAAAGGACCCCACUAUGAAAGCCUCCUAGAAGGGCCCCUCUGGUCCCACAUGGGUACCUCAAGGACUAAGUCCAAUCCCCCCAUCCUUGUUCUCCCUGUACACAGCAGUAUUACUCAGGGUCUUCCACUUUCCCAGCCAGCCCCUGCCAACAGGCUCAGUUAGCUUAGGGUCUCUGCCACCAUCGCAUCUGUGGUCACCUUCACACUGCACUGUGUAAGAAUGGCCCUCUGCAGUCUUGUGUUCUCUCCAUCCCCAGGGAGGACAGCAAUUGGGGGAAUUCCAGCCUAGUUCAGUGACAAUGACCUCCUCAGCUUCUCAGCCAUUUCCCUCACUGUUCUUCUCUCUCUGAGCCAUGGGGAGAAUAAAACCUGGAUCUGAAGACGACAGUUUGAUAACACGCAGGACCAUGUGCAUUUGUGUCAUGUUUAAAAGGGGGGAGCUAAGGGAAGUCUGUCCUCCACGGAAAUGCAUGGGCGCCAUUUUGAAAGGUCUGAGAUGCUAGAGGAGACACCCUUCCUCCUGAUCUUGUCGGCUUUGGGUUAGUGAUUUUGGAGUGAGUGUGAUGAGAAGUGCUCAGUACCACCCAAGCUCGGGACUCACAGACUGUGGUUAGUAUUUGAAGUGCCACCAGAUGCCAGAGUCAAAGCCUUCUUCCCCAAAGAGAGAUCCAAACCCUAAUCUCCUUUCCCCUCUAGCUUUCCAGAUAGCGAACCUACAAAGUAUAUAGCAUGCCACAGGCUGGCAGAAAAAAGUUCCCUAGAGUUCUCGAAGUUGCUGGUUCAAGAUCGAGAUGACGAUACCAUCGAGCGUUAGUCCAGGACCACUUUGUAGUUCAUAAACGACCAUCUUAUCCAUGGGUUCUUACACAGAGAAAGAGAUAAGAGAUUGCUCUGGGGGUUGGGAGCUCACUGAGCUAUUCAUGGGUGCUUUGCCCCCAAGACCUACUACCUCUCAGAAGCCUGUGUCCCCUAGCACCCUCAUUAGAGAUUUUAUUGGAGGGAAUAUACUAUAUAGUAUAUUAGUAUACACUAGCACUCCUUUACCAUACAAAGGCUCCCUGGCUUUACCUGAGGGAGGGGCUAUGGAGUCCUAGAAAAAGUGACAAUCCUUCCCAAGACCUUUGUGCUUUCUGGGUGAAGUUCCUUAAAAGGAAAGAACUACUCUACCAAGGGUAGGUAGAUGUAUGAGGGAAGGUCAUCAUAGGGACACUUGUGUAGGAAGAGUAGGAAAAGCUAGGGUGUCAAAGGGCCUGAGGGGCACAAGAUCCAGGGUCCCAGAGGCCCUGGUCCAUGCCUUCCUUUCCUGAAGAAAUGUCUGACUAGAAAGGGAAAGCAGGCUGCCCAUGGUCACCCGGCUUGUGAGCAGUGAUGAGUUACAAGGGAUCCUGGGCACAGGGCUCGUGAUCCAGCUUUACACCUCCCACAGCACGCCAUCCUUGGGCUGAGGCAGCACCCAGACUGCAGAAGAAGCCUCCUCAAGUGUUGACCUUGGGUGUGGGCAGGCAGAAGCGUGGCAGAAGCUGACCCUGAGGUUCUCAGGUUGAGUCCAUACACAGCCUCUGGGCUCAUGGCUGCCCAGGGCAAGUGCGACUGUGACAUUUCUUCCCAAGAGCAGAGCUGCUUGUUCUGUGAAGGCUCCCUUUACUUUUCUUGGACACAAAUCAAGCCCUGCAUUCCCCAAGCAGCAUCAAUGGACUGAAUGAGAUGUAGUCACUUCCCGUGCAUAAGUGGGGGUUCUGCGGGAGGACCAGUUUCACGUGCACUCAUUGAAGCAUGGAGGAGAGCCUGGGGGUGGGUGGGCAGCAGGAGGCCGAGAUCUAUUCUUAUCCCUGUUGCUAUGUGAUGCUGGGCAGGCCACGGAGGCUUCUGUUCCUCUUGGCUCAGUCAGCUCACAGCAUUUUGCAUCCCAGAUCCUACCCUGGGCACGGCCAGCCUUGUCUCUCUGUAGUGACAUGCCUGGCUGGGGAGUUUUGGGGAGGGAAUCCUGAAAUAUCUUCCUACCAGUCAGCAGGAAGACACAAGAGAUUCUAGAGACCUAAGUGAAAGAAUUGCUUUGCAGGGAGGUGAUGAGCUGCUGGCUUUCUCAUGGUCUCCACCUUCUCUUUUGGACUCUCUUUGUGCUUAGAAGGAGAAGGCUUAGUGUCUGGGCAUCUUCUUCAGUUCCUGCCUUCACAGGGCCGCCUUCCCCACCUGCUCUCUGACCCACCUGUGGCAGAGAACUUGUCACUUGGACCACCAGUAGGGGCAGCAGAGAGUAAGGUUGGGUGCUUAUUUCCUUGGGUUUCCCUGCAGGGUUAGAAUGGGUUGGCUUCAUUCUCCUAAGGCCAUGGCUCCUUCCAGGUGACCCUUGCACACCACUGUCUCUCUGCUGUCUGCUACCUCUCCAUUUUCCUCUUCUCGUAAAACUGAAGGAAAGAGGAACAGAGUUCAUUCUCCCCUAAGGUUUUGUUGGUUUCCCGUUGCUAUGACAAAAUGUCUGAGGCCGGGUAUUUUACAAAAUAAAACAGAUAAAGGAUGAUUUAGCUGACAGUUCUGGAGGUUCCAGGUGGAGGUCAGCAUCUGGGUAGCUUUGGUAAGAACCUCACAGACACCUUAUAUCGUUCAGGGAGGGGCAGCAUGUGAAAGAAGGAGAGACAUCAGGGUGAGACAAGAAGCCAGGGCAGUUCAGGGCCAGGCACCCUUAGCAAUAACCUGACCCAACCAUGUGCACUCGAUUCUGCCUCUUAAAAGUUCCAUUGUCUCCCAACAUGACCACACUAGAGUAGACCAUAGUCCUUUAGGGGACAUGUUCAACCUGGGUCAGGGAGACAGUUACAUUCACUAGGGAUCACUGCACUGUGAGAAAGCUCAGAAGCACCCUGGAAGUGUUAAAGGGUAGUCUCUUGAUCUCUGUGGAGACAGAAGGAAGGGAGAUCUCUCUGAAGCCAGGACCCUUGAUUUGAGCCUGGACAGAUCUUAAGGUCAGUAUCUGAGCUGUAGGUGGUCGAGUAGCAUGGACAAGUGCUCAACACAUCACACUUAAGCACCAGGAGCCCUCUGUUUUUGAAAACACAACAUAGUUAAAGAUGAAGAAAUGCGUUUUUAAAUGUGCCUCGUUUCCAUUUGCUCACAGACCAGGGGCUGCAGGAGUGGCAGGCUCCAGGUGCCCCAACAUGAUCACGAGGCUUCUGCCUUUCCCUCUGCUCAUAUCUGCUCUUGAUUUCCUAGGUCAGUGGGCUUCCCAGGCAGCCUUUCUCCACUCUGGAAAGUGAGGUGUGAUGGGGAAUGUUGUAGUUUCUGGAACAUUAACCUUAUGUAUGCCACUGAAUUUGUGUAUCUAGACAAAUACACUUCCUCUCAGUUUUUACAGAGCAAAUACCUCAGGAUAGCCCAGCAGGGUGGCCAGGCUCCAGGCUGAAAGCAAAGGAAGGAGAAACAUGGUAAGCUACCAGCUGGGCCCAGCCCCCAGAAGACACCAUCACAGAGCCAUCUCACAGACCACACUGUGGUCCGGUGCCUGACAGAAGCAACUGAAGGGAUUCCCAGUUGUUGCAAAGUGCAGUUCAUAAUGGCGAGGAUUGCCUGGUGACAGGAGACACUAUCUCUGGCUUGUGGUUGAUCUUGACUGUUUAGCAUGCAGAGAAUUCAACCAGAGACAGGGGAGGGGGGCGAGUUACAACCCUCGAAGUCCCACACAGGUGACCCAUCGCUGCCAGUUGUGACUCCCUUCCUGAGGUUCUAUGGCUUCCCCACACUGCACCACCAGCUGAGGAGCUGUGCGGGGCACCUGUUUGCACCUUAACAGUUCCUUUCCAGCAGACAGGAGUUUAACUCUUGUUUGUACCUGACAUCUUUGUUUGCUUUUAAAGAUAACUUUUGUGUCGACUCGUAAUUUUGGAGUCUCUAGCAAGGGACUUUCUAACUGGAGAUUAUGGAAAAGCAAAUGAUCCUCCAUUAAGUAGGAAAGCAGAGAACGAGGAUGACACAGACCCCACACCUCCCUCACAAGUAAGACCUCCCACAGGGUCCCACAGCCCCUCCUACACCCAUUCUGUGGGACAGGCUUUUAACUCAUGGGUUUUAUGAGAGACACUUGCUGAAACCAUUGCGAGGGGAAAGGCAAAGCCUUCUUGGAGUUCCCAAACGAUGUGUAUGACUGUCCACUUCAUUGAUCCAGCUACAGUGCAGGGCCUAUGUAAGAAUAGCUUGCCUGGGCUGGGUCAAUGACUCGAGUGGUAAAGUUGUUAGGUUUUAAAUCUCAGCCGGUGCCUGGACAGAAGUCAAGGCACCAAGUCACCAUGGUUCCACAUGGAGAGGUUUAAUGAGAGAAGAGUAGAAGAAGAGAGGAAAGGCGGGCAGCCAUGGGCAUGUGGAGAAGAGCGGGGAGAUGGGGAAGGGGGCAAGAACAGCAAAGGACAAAGAGUAACAGGAGGUAAGAGAAAGAGGAGGGGGCAAGCAGCCCCCUUUUAUAGUGUCAGGUACAGCUGGCUGUUGCCAGGCAACUGUGGGGCGGAGCAUACCUGGCUGUUCCAGGGUAGCUGUGGGGUGGAACUUAGGCAGAAUACCAACAAAAGUGUCCGCUGCUCACACACGAGGACCCAUGUCUUCCUUCAUCACUGCUAAAAGCCAGCCGGGGGUGUUGCACAUCUGUGACCCUAGUGCUGUAGGGACAAAGGCAGAGGAUCCCUAGCUAGCCAACCCAGCCAAUCAGUGAGGUCUGCGUUUAGCGAGAGACCUUGCCUCAAAAACACAAUGGAGACUAGCAAAGGAAGACAUCUGCCUGGGCUUUGGGCCUCCACGCACUUGCAUGCACACAUGGAUAGCACACAUAUACAGUAAUUAAUUGCAAAAUGAAGAACAGCAUCCUGGCAGUGAGGGGCAGCCCCUGAAGGAUGCCAGGGAAAAGCUUUGACAGAGCUGCGUACCAGAGCUUUAUCUGAAAAAGUAAGGCUGUUUCCCAGUUACAAAACUUAGAAUGAAGGGACACACAGCACCUUCUAAAGCAGAAGGAAAUGGCCACCUAGGACCACUGGCUGCCUCAUAAGGCCAGUGGUUCCUAGCUUGAGGCUAUGUACAUUUUUAGAAGGCUUUAGAAUAGUACUUCAUAGGGUUCUGAAACUUUUCUCUUCAGGGCUUCAGGGUCCUGGCUAACGUGCCCGAUUGCCGGCUGGGCUCUUGUUUGGCCAGCUUUGUAGAGCCAGGAACAUUUGCAAGCAGCUCCUGGUCCUGGCACCGUCCCUGACAGGCAGCCUCCUAGCUGCUGCUUGCCGUGAUGCCACCCCUGGCAUGCUCCUGUGAGUCACACACUGGGGCUCUGUGUCACUCAGAGCAGGCUCUGAGCCACACGUGCUCCGUUCUGCCCACAGCAGCGAUCACUAAGGGGACCGGAUAAUCACGCCGCCAUUUCUCAUUUGUCAAGACCCACCUGUCUCCCUCCAUGCAAAAUAGAGACUGACAGUCUGGUGGGGGCGGACAUGGAUUGGGGUGGAGGAAGCAGAGGCAUUUUGCUGAGAGUGACUGGUGGGAAGCAUCAGUCAUAGAUAUUUCUAGAUGAGCCGGAGAGGAGAGAGAGAUACAUGGCUCAGGCCCCGGAUUGCCCGGUCAAAACUCCAGAUCCUGCCUCUUGCUAGCUGGUAUCUUGGGCAGGUUGCCACUUUUCUCCAACCUUUAAUUUCCUCGUCUGUAAGACGUGAUGAGCAGGGCACCCGCAUAGUGCCUGGGAGCUAAGAGCCAUCAACGACGUCAGCCUUUGGAUUACUCUAGUCAUGCUUCUCAUUCCCUCUGCUCUGCCUGUCUGACUUCAUUUCCAUCUGGGACCGGACCCACAGUGCCGGCUCCUGUGUAGACAGCAGGGACGAUUUCGAUGGCCUUGGCUCCCAAGCCUUCUCAGAAACAUCUUCCUUGUAAUUUGAAUUACAACUCCUUCUAGGAGAGGAAAGAUAAUUACAAACCUAGAAGGCAUGUGUAGUUGAUUUAUUGUGCAGGAAUAUUUAGUGUGCAAAUAUUUCCACAGGGGCUCUCUCUCUCCCCCCCCCUCUCCACUCUUUUGUCUUUCUUGUACGUGUGUGGCACCUGCAUGCCUUUUAUGUGAGUGUGCACAUGUGUGUUUGUGAGUGCAUGUGUGGCAGAGCAAGGGUGAUUUGGGGAGACUUUUCCUCUUUUGCUUUUUCCAUCUCAUUCUUUGAAGGUCCCUCUGUCAGACUUAGAGUGUGAUGAUACAGACAGUCCCUAUAGACUUUGGUUGGGAAGUCUCCUGACUCCACCUAUGAGGCUGGGAUUACAUAUGGGUCACCACCCUCACUGGGCAUUUUUCACUUGGGUCUGAGGAUCUGAACUCUGGUCCUCUCCCUUGUUUGAUGAGCUCUUUCACUGCUGAGGCAACUCCUCAGCCUCUGUGGCCUCCCUGACGCUGUGCAGAACUGAACUCUUUACUCUCCUUCUGUCCUACACUGUCCCCAUCUGCAGGCUGAGAAAGCCACGCUCAGGGUGUUUAUGUAACUCCCAGGAGCACACAAGGGGAGGUGGCAAAGCAGACUUUGGAUCCCAUUUAGGUAGCUGACUCAAAAUCUUUGCUCUACACUCAUGCCUUCUCUCUGGGGAGCAGGGACCAUCUCAGGGCGAAGGACACCCGGAGACAUUGUGAGGCUCAUGGGGGAGAGAAUCUUGUAAGAGAAAUGGAGAAGAAGGAAUUAAUUAUAACAGCAGUUUGGGGUUUUGGCAGAUUCCCUAGUAAGAUCUGAUCGGUUUUCGUUGCCUGUUUCGACUUUCAACUUAACCACCAGUGGGUUGCAAGGAGAAAGGAAUCAAAUUGCUCACUGACAGCAAGCGCUUGACCCUGCAGCCUUGGUCAUCUCAGGUGUGACAGACAGGACGCUAAUUUGCAUUUGGAGUGAACCAUCUCAAAGAAUCCUGAUUUUUUUUGGGGGGGGAGGGGUACGACAUAAAUCAUAACAACCCUCAGUGUGAUUAGUUUAUAUAUUCUCCUGAUUGGAUGAGGCUGGACUUUUUCCAGUGUCAGAUCCAAGCAUCCAUUGUGAAAGCGCUUUCCUAACAUCCUUCGACAAACCUUGGGAGGACUUUUCUUAUUUCCCAACUGUACAAAGAAGAGCCGAAAGGGAGAUAGUCAGCUGUCCCUUAGUGUCUGAGUGGGACUGCAUCCAGGAGUCCUCCUCAAAUCCCCCAAUCUCCUGAUGCUCAGGUCUUUCACAUAAAGUGGCGUGGAACCCCAUUUGCACACACCAUGUGCACAGCUAUCCCUGCCCCUGAAGCCAUCCCUAGAUUACUUAUAAAACCCGAUGCGAUGCAACUGGCACGAAAAGCUUCACUACACCAUUACAUAUGGAAUAAUGACAGAGGAGUCGAUCUCUGCAUAUCCAGUACAGAGGAGGCAAUUUCGGCAUUUCAACCUGUGCCUAAAUUAGCAGUAGGGGAGGGCUGUGUUUACGUUCUCUUCUUGUCAUGUGAUCUCUCCGGAGUUUGGUUAUUCAUGUCAUAAGAAUACCCACCUCGAAGUACAGCAAAGGUAGAGCAAAAGGACGGAGAGGAAGAACUGUUCCACCUGGUGCACAGGAACUGCACUGUUACUGAAUCGUCCUCAUUGGGAUGUCAAUUGUGGCCAGGGUAGCAAUGAUAACAAAGUACUAAAGGUCACAGUGGCUUUGAAAGGUCAAUCGUUCUUCACACUGGAUCCCAAUUUUAAAGAUUUAUUUCCUAAACCUCUGAGAGGAACGGGACCUCGAGGAGCCUGACACCAAAUUUAUGUGAGGUUUGACCUUAUGUGGCUUCAGGACAGAAGCCAGUGGGUGGCAGGCUCCCUCUGGUUUCUGUACCAGAGCCUUGCACGCAGUGACUCCGGGAUGCCAGCAGUCUGAGAGUGCUGCACAUGGCCGGGUAUGCCCCUGACAGUCCUUUCCAGAGGGGAGUGCCGUGCCUGUUCCAUUCCUUGUGGGGAGUCCUGGACUUGCAGGCUCUGAAAUCACUUAAUCUCUUGCUCAUUUCUGUCUCCGGACACUGGUGAUAGUCUCCUUAGCGAGGUGCCAUGGAAGGUGCAGCCCAAGAUGUAUGUGCCCCGCUGGUCUCUCAGAAACUGGAGUGGAUGAGACUGGUGAGGGAGAGGGGUUCAUGAAGACCAAGAUGGCAGGCUUCCAAGCUCUGUAUGGGAGCUGUAGAGUGGCGGGAGAGGGCUGCAUUUUGGAUCAGAUCUUCCAGGCCUUUCCAUGCAGGGGACACUUCGAAACUAGCUCUUGACAGUGAAGAGAGGCAUGAAAUCAGUCCAAUAGAAGGACCGAUCGCUGCUUGGCAACUAAGGGACCAUUUUCCUCACGUGAGAGUGGGCUGAUUCUGAGGGUUGUUUUGUAAAGCGAUGUAACUCUCUCUAUCCACACCGAUGAUACACACUCUUAAAGGCAGAGGGGAGAGGAUAGGGGCUUUUCCCAAAAAAUUCUACCCUAGAUAAAACCUGAGUUCUUACAGCCCCUAGCAUGUUGUUUCUAAAGAGCAGCAGGCGGCAUGAUCCAAGAAAUAACGCACUGGACAGCUCACUCCUAAAUGGAACACAAUGUGUAUAUUAGGGUACCCUGCUAACGGCGUUCAUCAGAGUCAGUAGGAUGGUGUGGAAGUAACUGGUCAGGGAUGCUGAGCUGCCUGAUGUAAGUGGUACUCGGGAGAUCACGGGGAACGGUCAGUAGUCAAGAGUCCACAACUAGUACAGGCCUUCGGGUUUGGACCUAGCUCUGCGGAUGGGAAGCCCCCAUGCAGGAAGCCUACUCUGCCACUUGCUUCCUUGAUAAAACCACAGCAGAGUCUUAAGCAGUGAGUUUAGCACCUCCCAGGAAAGGGCAGGAAGCCAGAUUUUGCCAUCCCAGAAGUCUGUCCAGAUGUCUCUCAUGUCUUUAACCACACUAGUCUGACCUGUCAGAGCCUGUUGGCUAUACUUGGAAGAUGCACAUCUGGAAAGGCAGGUGGAAAAUUGUACAGAUGCCUAUAGCCGUGGUCUAAUUAAUCUUGUCAUGACAUUGCCCACCUGUCUUGUCAGGAGCAGGCAAGUGUAUGGACCUGCUUGGGCAUGUGUGCAUACGUGUGUGUGCGUGCAUGCGUGCACACAUGAAUAAAAGUUGUUGCUAACUCAGUAGCUUUUUCAGUGAACAAAGCCUGCAGAUCCAGCUGCUGUCUUAGUUCUAGGGCAUAGGAAGUUCAGGGCAGGAGCAAUACGCUUUCUAUUUGUAAGGGGCAGGCUGAGAACCUCCUUGACCCUGUGACUUGUCAAGCAAGGCCAUGUGGACAUCUCUGGGUAUAAAUUCUCACCUGGUCAUUUGUUACUGGUCUCCUGCUUAGGGUAAGAAGGUAAUGUCCAAUGUGGAUUCAUUUCACAGGAGUUUUUGUGGCAAGCAAGGUGGCCUGAGAAUGACUCUCAGCUUCCCAAAUGGAACAUGUUCUUUUAUUGUGAGAUGCCAAUUAUAUUUUGUUUUACAUAUUUUCCAGUUUAUUAAGCAUUCUACCCUGCCAUUUAAUCCUCACAAGUACCUGUAGAAGUCUCUACAGUCAUAUCUGUGUUACAGAUGAGGAAAGCAGGGCUUGGAGACAUUCAGUGUCUAGGCCAAAAUGAGUAUCAGCAAGCAGGGGCUAACUAGAGGCCACCGUGUGCACUCUGACAUGUUUAGCAUGAGUAUCAGCAAGCACUGGAGAACUGAAGCCCACUGUGUGCACUCUGACAUGUUCAGCAUGAGAAUCGGCAAGCAUUGGAGAACUGAAGCCCACUGUGUGCACUCUGACAUGUUGAGCACUUUGCUUGUUAGUUCAUGUUCCCAUUCAUUUACCCGUUCAAUGCACGUUGGGUACUUUCCACCCCUAACGUUAAUGAGGUGACACAGAAUGAAGAGAAAUAUAAACUACAUUACUCUCCUCCAUUAGAGGGCUAAUAACAGGAAAGGAUCAGUCAUUGGCUCAUUCUGUUCUGUAAAACUUAGUUAGUGGUUUUGCCACUCACAUUUAAGUCCAAAGAAGCGGUAUUGAGACUCCAUCAAUCUUCCGGCCAAUUGUACAGUCCCCAAGGAUAUUCAUUCACACCUAUUCAUCUGCACGCCUUGGGAUGCUCGGUUACCUGCCCUGAGUCAACACACACCUCAGUUCGAUAUUAUUUGCCGGGUACUUGCCUUUCCUUUCUUUGAUUCUUAAAAAUGUAUUUGUGCACGGACUCUAUGUCAGGCUAGUUUUUAGCCUCAGUUAUCUCCACCAAAGCUUGCCCCUCACUGCCUUCAUCCCAGUCUUCUGGAAUGAGAUGAUGUAAUUCCAUAUGGCCAGCAUCCCAACCUUAUAGGAAAGACUGAGUUGCAGUUCUUGGGUCCUCUUUGGAAUCGAUUUGUAUUUUUCAUAACAGAUGGUGCCUGGGGUUUGUGAUACAUUCCCACAAGUUGUCUUUUCUUUACUACAUGACUAGCUUCCGCAGUGAGCCAAUUGUGGUAUCUUUAUCACCAUACCUUCUGCAGAAGCUGGUACAUCCUAUAGUAAGUUGAAGGUGCUUGGUGAUUAUCACUUAGUAGAUAUUCCAGAGAGUCAUAGCUCAUUUUUUCCAAAGAUGCCUUUGAGCAGCACUGUGGAUUUCCUCUGGUCCUCUAAGGAAUGCUAUGCUAACACUGGUCCCAAAGACCUGACCACAAAAGAAUGACCUUUCUGCAGUCUAUAAUCUUUGUUGCUAAGCAUUUGUCUCCCUCCUAUUCAACUUAACCAACCUUGGGUUCUCCAGACCCUCUGGCAGAUAGAACAUUUUUGGCUUGAAGUAAUUUGGAGUCUUUGGUCAAAACAGCAUGAAAAUCAACAGUCCACAUCUGGUUUGUUGUAUGUCAAUAUCUCUGAGAGGCAAUCUGUGUGGGCAUUGGGCAUUUCUCAAGGAAUUCCCAGAAGGUUGACCAACGUCAAUGCCCCCAGAAAGAAUCAGGGAGCAAGUCAAUAAGAACUUCUUUGUUCACAUCAAAAGGGUGGGUUUGGGAUCUAGGAUAGGUACCACAUGGGAGUGGAGGAUGGAAAGAGUCUUAAUUUGGAUUGUAGAGUCAGGGUGCUUUGUUAAGUGGUAAAACUGUAGUUAUCUGGAACUUUUCAAAUGUUUGCGCUAUAUGUGGCUAUGUGGAAUCAGCUCUUCAACCUCCAUGAGUAUACAAAGGCAGAUAAUAGGUGCCAUUUGGGGGCGAUCCUGACAUUUGAUGUCUCAGACUCAUGGGAUGAGGCUACUACUGAAGUUGAGUUUACUAGGCACAAGAACCUGCACACAACUUUGGAUAGGAGACAAUUGCCAUUGAGUAUGCUGGAGCCCUUCCCUUCACAAGUGCAGGAAGGGUCAGAGGUGGGGUGUCUUCCACUCUUGGUCUCUAUUUUACUUUUUGGGACAAGGUUUCUUACUCAACCCUCAGCUUGCUGUUUCUGUUGGUCUGGAUGUCCAGAAAAUCCUCGAUUCACCUGUCUCUGUAGCUCCAGUUCUGUUGUCACACAGGCACAACACCACAUGGACUUUAUGUGGAUACUGAGGAUCAGAACAGUCCCUCAUUCUUACCCAGCAUGGGCUUGACUGCCUGAACCACUUCUCAGUUUUUGCUUAUACUUUCUCCCUCAAACCUAUUCUUAGUAGGCUUUAGCUUCAUCCUCCAACAGGACUUAAUCUCUUCAGCUCACAGCAUGUCCUAGCAUCAUUUCCCCUGGGAUCCAGGAGCUAGCUCGAGCCUCUUAGUUGGGCAAAAUUAGUUAUGCUCCAAAGCCUCCAAGGACACCUCAAGAUCGCUAUCCCCAUUCAUUUGGAAAUUUUGGGAACCAUACCAGACUUACUUUAUUCUCCUGAUUUCUCUGGGAUAGCCAAUACACUAAGGCAGCUAUUCACCAAAGGGAACAGCUAAACAUUUGUUAUAUGGUGCUGGUGAGCUGAGAUGUGUGUGGGUUUAAAGUAGACAUGGAUUUUUAAAUACUGGGCAUUAAAAGGUGAAAUAUCUUUGUUAAUUAUCUCAUAUAGAUUGUGUGCUAAAAUGUCUAUGUGUUAAAUAUACUAGGUGAACUAAAAAUACUAUUACUAAAACUUCCAGACAUAGUGACACAUGGCUGUUAUCCCAGUACUUAGGGGGCUGAGACAGGAGGAUUGCCCUGAGAGUAGUCUGGGGUUACAUAGUGAGUUUGAGGCUAACCUGCACUAUAUAACAUGUUCUCGUCUCAAAACAGAUUAACUCUAGUUGUAUUCAUUUUAAUGGGAUCAUGGAACAUUACAACUGGCUUACAUGGAUCUACUGUGCUCUAUUGGGAGUACUGGUCUACCACACCAUUGUGAACAAGCUCAGAAACAGUUACUGAGCUGUCCUGAGUCAUGCUGGUCCUGCCCUUUCUUUUGAAAUAGAACAUCUUGUUCCUCAUUCCUACCUCUUGGCUUAUCUUUUUCUGGCCCCUUUCUCUCCUCAUGGUUACCCCCAUGACCAUCACUUUUACAAAGUCCCUAUGUAUUAAGUGAGAUUAGUGGAUGGACACAUUUGUAAGGCUGUGGGUUUUUGAAUCAGAUGGAGAGAUUCUUUUAAAAUGUCAGAGCCCCUAGCCACUGAGGAGUGUUUUGCUCUGAAAGCCUUUGCAGUCAGGUAUCCUUUCCCAGCAGGCUUUGGGAAACAGGCACAGCUUGUUGCGGAACAGCUCUCCUCUACACGCUUACAUAAAGGCUCCUGUGAAAUGGAGAGCAGCAUUUUAAUCACAUCGAAGGUCAUGGAUUUAAAACUGAGACCUUGAAAUCUAGAAGCACUUGCUUUCAUAACGGUCUUGUGUUGCCUCUCUGGGAUACGAAGGAAGAGUAGUGCUGUGGGCUGGCAGGCAGACUGAAAUGGCAGUGCCAGGCUGGGGAAGGAGCCUCAGAGCCACAGAGCUGCCCACUUUCCUGCAGCUGCCAGCAGUUCUUCAGCUCAGGGCCCGGCUAUCCCCUGUUCAUGGCAUAGUGUCUUAGAGCUUCAGCCAUGGCAGAGUCACGAAACUUGAAUUCUUUUACUGAUCCCUGGCUUCUUUGAGGUCCUCGAGCAGAUAUUCUGUCCUACUCUGUUGAGGUUCCAUACUUCCUGUGUGUGCCUUCCCAAAGCCUGGAAGGAUGGCAGAGCAGGCACAGGCAGAGGGAAAGGAAGUCUCUAGGUAAACAUGAAGCUUAGCCUUGUGUGGAAUAACUUUUAGACCAGUCAUAAAAUACCUAACUUGGAACAUUCUAAAGCUAUGAGCAGUGACAUCAGCAUCAUGUUAACAUGAAGGCUGUUGCCUAGAGGGUCACAAAGAUGGGGCAGAGGUAAAACCUGAACCUGUGGAUUUCUAGAUGCAAUUUUCACCUUUCCUAUGUACAGUCCUCUGUAGAAAACUAGGGGUCACAGAUCAUGUACCUGCUCAAGUUUUUGCUUGGUUUCUGUUUGUUCAUUCAUUCAUUCACUCACUCACUCAUUCAUUCAUUUUUAUAGUGGUGCUAGAGAUUGAACCAAGAACAUUUAUCUUAUGUGCUAGGUAUGUAAGUAUUCUAUUUUUAAGUUACAUUCUUCGAUUUUUCUCCCCCUCUUUUAUUUUAGGCAGUAGCCCAGGCUGGCUUGGAACUCAUUGUGUAGCUCAGGCUGUCCUUGAACUCACCCUUCUGCUUCAUCUCCUAUGUUCUGAGAUCACAGCUGUACCAGAUUUUCAUUCACUAAUUUUGUAUUCCUGCCUGAUUUUGUGUGGCUCUUGAGCUCCGAUGAUCCAUAGAUGGCAAGUGGCAAGCCCUGACAUUUGCCUAUCAAAUUAUAUUCUUUAUGUUUUAGGAAAUGUAAGCAGAGUGAGGAUCAUUCAGCCCAUGUUACACUCAGCACAACUGCAGGGUGUAUACAAGGUUACCCAAGAAAUGAUAGUUAUCAUAGGAUCUGGAUUUUGAGUUGUGACGGUUAAGAGACACUGUCCCUUCCCUUCUGAAUGGUGGCAUUGAAGAAGCAAUGUCCCUUCUCUGCAGAGAUUUUGAAUUUAAAAAGAGCACCAGACACUCAUUCCAAGAAGGGAGGACCUGGUUUUUCCCAGGCUGUCCUUGAGGCUGGGAGAAGAGAAAGGGCUGUUGUCCUAUGCUGGCUUGAGUCCGUCUCUUAUGAAUACCAUCUGGGCCUUGAAGCAUUUUGGUGUGGUGGCAGCAUCCUGUUUCCCAUGCUCACUCACCCUGGACUCAGACACAGUUCUCUUCUGCAGACCCACUGCUUGAGAUGUGUAUCCUCUGGGAGGCAGCAGGAGCAUCCCCCUGGUGUGGAUGAUUCAUUAUUCCAUCCUCCUGUGUGCAUGAUCACAACUCCAGGACCCCAGGACACAUCAGGAAUGUAAUCUGUUGCUGCUCCUGGUGGCCACUGGGAAGGUGACUUCACCCAGUUCUCAUGAGGUGGUCUUUCCUGACAUCAGGCCCCAAACUAACGUGGAGACAGGGCAAGAAAGCUAGCUUCCUCCUUAUGCCUCUUUCAGAAGCUGGUGGGCUACAUGUGGCUGGCUGUCCAGGGGCCAUUAAGUCUUCAAUAGGUACCAGGGCUGUGACAGACACCAGAGUGGCCUAGAGAUGAGGGAAGCACACAACAUUUGAUUAGUCCUGGGCUAAUCAAAUUUGAUUAGAAUUAUGGAAGACCUUCCAAUUGGUAGAUAGAGAAAUUAGAGAGAUAAGGCAGUAGUUGGACUGUCCCUGAAUGGGAUGCAUCUUCUUGGAAGAUGUGAGAGCAUCUAAAACCAGCAGGUCCUAAAUUCUGGGAGUCUGCAAAAACACAUCCAUGCUUAUACCUUGAGUUGGUUACCCUGUGGUAGAACCCAGGAAUUGUUUUAUAAUCUUUGUGCAUGAUUCUACAGCGAGUCGAGGUUAAGAAUCAGAGAAUCAGCACCCAUAAGUUCCUGGCCUCAAUGCUACUAAGUCACAGUUGUAAAAAUCAAUGCAGCACACAGUUGUUGAGUGACGAGAUCACAGAUCACUGUGAUCAAGUAGCUGACAGAAGCUUGUACAGGAGCAAGGGUGCAUUUUGAUUCACAGUUUUAGUCCACCAUGGGGGGAAGGCAUGCUGGAGUUCAUGGCCACUGUGGAAUCAUGCAGUGGGUGAAAGCUUGCCACACCUUAUUGAAGCAAGAAACAGAAAUAAGAUGUAGAAAGAGGACCAAGAUCGAACGCUCAAGCCCCACCCAUAAGGUCAGUUAAACCUCACGUCCCAAAGACUCCAUAACCUCUGUAAGUAGCACCGUCACCUGGGAAGCAAAUGUUUCAGCAAGCACGUAAGCCUGACCAAGGAAAGGGGGGAGCAUGAGAAAAAUGGUUUGUGUGAAAUUAUUAAAGGAUGCAUGCAUGCCCCUGUGUGUUCGGGAGGGGAAGUCCUCCUGGAAUGUAUGGCUAGGAAGACUGGAAAUGUGUGGUCUCUUCUUGGUAUGACAAUGUGACCUCCCUCAGUCCAAUGAGGAUGAAAGGUCCAUGGUCACUUAGCAGGGUAUGUAAGGGAAGCUAGUGCUCCUUGUGUCAUAAGGACACACACACACACACACACACACACACACACACACACACACACACACUCAUACACACAGAGACAUACACACAAAGGGACAUAGGGAAAGGUGGAUCUUUGCUCCUGUGUCCUCCAAGGGUCAGGUGGCCUCAAAGCCAACAUGGAGCCCUCUGCUUGGGAGCUACAUUUCCCUGCCCUGAUGUCGGUUGUCCUGCCCUAGAAGAGUGCCUUGUGCAUGGCUGGCACGGUGCCUUGCUUGCUGUCAGAAUGACUCAGAUCCCCUCCUGGCGCUUGCCUGCUCAGGCAGCACAAGCUGUUCCUUUGGCUUGUGUAGAUGGAGCCGGCGCUUCUCUCUCCAGGAUGGAGGCCAGGAAGAGGGGUGUUUGUGUGUCGACCCUCUCCCCCCUCUCCCUCUCCAGGCACAGGGGUGGGGCAGGAAGACUAUAUUACAGGCAUGGCUUCAGUGUACUCCCCCUGUAACUGGCUAGCUCGGUCCCAGAGGGCAUGCACAGCAGGACACUAGGCAUUCAGGACAAGUGACCAGGUGAGGUGGCACUUGAAUGGAAGACUUUCCUGAAAAGUUAGCAACACAGGUGGACAGGGAACAUUGACAGUGACUGUCUGAAGGUGACAUGACCUAAGGCCAUUCCACGCGGAGAAGAUUUGGGCAAUGUGUUCAUGAGGUACUAUGCAGCCUUUACAUGGCCUCAGGACCUUGGUUCCUUAGCACUCUCCAGGGGCAGUUUCUCCCAGCACCCUCCUAUCCUCUCUCCUUUUUUCCCUUCCCUGGAACUUUGAGCUUGGAGAUGCCAAGUCAAAUGUAGAAGAUCACAUGGAUGUUCAAGAGCAGAGCUGAAAACCCAAACCAAGUCUUGGGUUUACUUCAUUUUCUUUUGAUUCUAUUAGGAAUGAAACCCAGAGCCUGUCAUGAUAGGCGGAUGCUCUACCACUAAGCUGUAGAAGCCUCGUCUUUGAGUUACGAGUUUUAACAAAUCCUGUGCUUGCAAGAAUGUUCAUGUACUCUCAGCUGUUAGCACUCAUCUUAUGUAACCUGUCCUUGUCACAGGAUGACUUUGGGUGCUUCAUGGACUAUCCACACUUUCAAAGGGUAGCAUACAGGUAACUGGCAGUGGGGGGCCCCAAGGCUGAAAGACUGGCCACUCACUGAACAGUGUUUCCUAUUUAUUCUGUCUUCGGAAUGGUAUAAAUUGUGCUUAGCCUAGAUUUUAGAUUGAACUACACAAAAUCAGCAUUCGUUGAUGGUUAAGAAUGGUCAUCUCGUGGUAACAUUUUAGAGGUUAACCUAAUACAGUGAAGGUUCUAAAUAAUAUGGCAUAUGACUUGAGAGGACCUAGGGGCUCCGGGUUUAUGGUUUCUUAACAGACACGACUCUAGGAGGUGCUGGUGUGUGUGUGUGUGUGUGUGUGUGUGUGUGUGUGUGUGUGUGUGUAUGUGUGUGUGUGUGAAUAAUUGUGUUAAGAGCAUGGCCUCAGGGCUAAAGAGCCCUAGCUAGAAGCUUUGAUUUUUCUCUUUACCUGCCCUGUGACCUUGAAUGAGUCACUAAUCCCUCUGCCACACAAAUUUCUCCUCAGGAGAACAGGAAUAAUACCUCAUGGAGUUGAGGAGAUUAUGUAAGUCAGUGAAGGCAAAGCCUCUGGAAUAUUGCUGGUGUGUGGUAGAAAAAAAUGCUGCCAGCUUCCCCUGCUGGUAUUAUACAGAUUCUUAAUAUUUCCACAUCUCAACUGGAAGCAUAUGAGCGUGUUCCAGACAUAGAGUAGAAACUGUUGCCUUCAGCCCCUGGGUCAGGGAGCAGCUUCUAGAAAAGUAUCAUCUGUGCUCUCCAAGUACAGCAUAGCUGAGGACACUAAGGGGAGGCCCUACCUUCAAACCCUUCACAACCAGCUAGAAGCUUCUACAGCAGUGGUUCUCAAGCUAUGGUUGCAACUCCUUUCACAGGGGCUGCAUAUCAGAUAUCCUGCACAUAGGGUAUUUACAUUACAAUUCAUAACCAUAGCAAACCAUUACAGUCAUGAAAUAGCAAUGAAAAUAAUUUUAUGGUUGGAGGUCAUCACAUGAGGAACUGCGUUAAAUGGUCAUAGCAUUAGGAAGAUUGGGAAGCCCUUCUUUAGAGAAACUAUAUACAGGUAAUAGUUCUCUCUUCUGAGGGAAAGGCCUUAAUAAAUAACUUGGGUGAGAGGCAGCAGGACAAAUCUGGGUCUCUCAGGACCUUAUUUCUCAGCUCACCAGAUUGGAUAAUACUCUCAUCUAGAUUUCCAACGGUCUCCCUUUCUUGGGAGUACCUCCUUACCUCAUCAGAACCCCCGAGACUGUGUAGAGCCAUAAUUCAUAGAAGCCCAUUGCUGAACUACUGGUCUAGGGUCCCCAGGACCUCUACACUAACAUGAUCCAUGGGGUCCAGUGACAGCUGUGAUACUCCUCAUUGAUGCUUUGUUACUGGAAACAGGCUAGGAUGGGUCAGCUGCAGAGACACUUGAGGUAGAACCCAGAAAGAGUCCAGGAACUUGUAGAUGUGUUCUCCUUUGACUCAGGGCAGCACAACUUUCCUGAUGUCAGUGUGUGAGAGACAAAUGGAUUACACUGACUUACAGCACAAACACUUGGUGUCCAGGAAUUUCAUCAGUGCCCCAACCAUGUGAGCACAGGUGACCUUUUGUGUGGCUCAUAUCAGUCUCUAGCACCACCCCCAACCAUGAGCCUACGAUGUGACCCCCAAAUUCCUCUCGACCUAGCAUUGUUGCUAGGGCUCAAAACCCACACCACCAAUCACAACCCAGUUCCCCAAAGCAAAUAUCUACUUGUCAGUGGGAUAUUCCAAGGACUUACUGAUUUCCCCCUAGAAACCACAGGUGAUGCCAGAGAUCUUUUGGGAGAGGCCCGAGUUUCAACUGCACACAUAGGCUCUGGGGACACAGCUGGUCCAGGGAGUUCACACUCUAUGGGAAGAGACAAUCAGGACAUCAGCACCUAGACUGGUGAGGGUGUACAAUUGCCCAUGACCACCAGGGGGCGCUUCAGUGAGAUUACGCAUGGCUGGUCUGGUUGGUGGAGUUUGUGCUGACUCUAACCAUUUCUAGGGAGGAAGCUCACUAGUUCCAAUGGCCACAAGGACUUCUCCAGGCAGCACCCUCACUGACUCUGGGGAUUCAGGGUGAGUAGGGAGGACAACCGAGCAUCCGGGAAACAUUGGGCUGUUCAUAUCUCAAGAGUGACAGAGCCACUGAGAAAGAGUGGCUGUGCAGGAACGACAGUUUGUGGAUACAGUUAUGCAAAUUAACAGAGAUCUGACUGUAAGCCACCUAUUACUUCUGGUCCUCACGUGGAGACUGCUUUCUCUAAUGACUGCAGCACAGUAUCUCUGAGAUCAGAGAACACACGGCUAUUCUUCUUUGCUCUGAGAUUUUUGGCCAUUGCCCUGGCUUCAUCUGCAGUGAGAGGGAGGGGUGUCCUUGGAUGUCUUUUGUGCCCAAGCCAUUUGGCUACAUGACCUCAACCUCACCUAUUGCGAUCUCUCACCAUUUGUGCAGGCUCCCCCGGUUCUUGACUUUCCUCGAAACCUUGACGGAGACCUUGAUGAAUGAUCCUUUACCUUCCCUCCCUGCACACAUUUCAUAUGCUGCGAUCGGCCCUCAUCUCUGAGCCCUUGGGGAUAAGAAAACUAAUUUGGAGCAAUGGUGGCAGCUGCCAGCCUACGGGGCGGGCCUUCUGGGAGGUAUGUUAAGUGUCAGUAAAGACUGUAGGUACCACAUUUCAGUGUGUCCCUCUGCAAUGGCGGCCGUGAUUUUGUGCCCAACCGAUUUUCGUGAUCUCACUCCACAUCACCCUGAGAUUCUUUGUGGCAGGGCAGGGACUGGACAUUACAGUCUAUGUAUGCUUCAGCCCUUAAUUGAUCCUAACAGCAGCAACUCCUGUUUUUCUCUCUGAGUAGUACUGGCGGCAGCCACCUCUUCCUGACUUGUCAGAACAUGACAUGAUAUGUCAGAAAUGCUUUGGGGGCAUUCUGAACAGUUUUAGGUCUUCUAUUCAGUGGUUUCCUGUUUGUUUUUGUUGGUUUGCUUGUUUGACACAGAAUCUCAUGGAACUCAUGGUGGAUAUGUAUAGACAAAAAAAAAAAAAUGACUGGAUUUCUGGUUCUCCUUGCCUCUGUCUUCCAUGAGGAUUACAAAUAUGCACCAUCGUAGCGAGCCUGUGAUUUGGUUUUUCAAAAAUACAUUUUGGUGUCACUGCGUUUGACUCAGAGCAUCAAGAAAAAGGAGACUUGGCUCGUGUAGUUCACAAGAAUUCGCUGAAUAAUUAUCAUCAACCUGGCACACCAGGGCACCGGGAAUUCAAAGCCACCCAGGCAAGGUCAUACCUAGAAGUACAAUUCAGUGGAGGAGACAGGCAUAUAAAAUAAUUAACCAAGUGACCGAUACUCGGUGCGGGGCCAGGAAGGAGAGAUGAGGAAUUGACUGUGUGCCCAGGAUUAGGGGAUGGGGGGUGGUCCCAGGGAAGGAGCUGUUCCAGCAGCCUUUGAUGGAAUGCAAGAGCUGUGCAUCUGGAGGAAAAGAAGAAUUAUUCCAGGCAGGGACAGAUUCACACACAGAAAUAGGGAGGUGUGAGAGCGCGCGCGCGCGCGCUGCAUUCACAGAAGGCACCACAGAGCCAAGGCCACCACCCACUGCUGUGCCAGCUGUGUUCCGCGCAACUUCGGGGGACACCAGUGCCCCAGACUAAGAUGUGAGCAACACAGGUGCUAAUAGAGCAGCCCAGUAGCCUGUCCUAAGGAUGAUGGGCGAGGAAGAGCCCUUAAGAAUUCUGCUUCCGUUUCUUCUGCUGCCUUCGCUGUCCGUGCGCAACUGAGAAACUAUGCGUAUCGGUGGAUCGGCUCUUGAGGUUUGCCCGGAGCUCUGCUGUGCUUGCUGACUCUGUAAACAGGGCACCCCAGGAGCUGGGCUAGCAAUGACCAGCUGUGCUGUCUGGGGGACUCCUCUUCACAGCAGUUGUUCAUGCUUCAGUGGCAGGUGGUGGCUGGAUAGAGUACCCCCCCCCCCCCGUUAUUGCAGGCAUUUCGGGGUGGGGGGAUACAGUUAAGGAUUCUCUGGAAAUGGGGAACUGAGUCACCUGAAGGAGAAGAUGCCCCCUCAAAGCCAAGAGCUUGGUAGGUUUGGAGGCUGGGAAGCUCAGGAGUUGUCUCGAAGGACCAGGAAUGUAUUGCCUAAGCUCUUGUGAUGGGCAGCCUUUGAAAUCUCAGUGGAUUGGAAGUUUAUUCUUAUCAUAGCCCAUGCAGAUUGGGGGACUCUUCUGGCUGCAGUGCAUGGGGUGCCGGGGGCUCUUGUGUUCCGGUUGGGAUAAUGGAGAAAGGACACCCACUCUUAACAGCCAUGGAUGGGAAGUGACACCAAGUCUCAGUGAUGAAAGAGUACCAGAAUAUAUCUAGAAGCUGGGGGUGUGACUGUGAGGGAGAUGCGGUCAAGCUAUAUGUCAGGAGUCUGGGGUGGACUUAAAGCAUCCCACAGACCCAGCCACGGUCAUGACUGUGCAGUUGUCACUGACACUGACAGUGCAGUGACAAUCAGCUGAGUGACUACCUGCUCUCUCCAUGUGUCUUCCUGUUCCCCUCCUCAUGGUUCCUCCCAUGGGGGAAUGCUGAGAUUUGGAGAAGACAUCGGACUGUCCAGGUCAUUCCAAGUGUACAAGAUCAAAAGGCAGACACUGUGUGAGUCCAGCUCUGAGGGAGACCUUCCUCCCUGUAGGUGUCCAGGGAAGGAUCUUCAGGUUGGAGACGUGCCUCUCAUUGGAUGGUGCUCCUGGUACAUACAGCCUCAGAACUGACGUUCUUGGUGGCAGAUGCAGAGCGCACUGGGACUAUAGAGGGCAGGGUAGAGGAGCCCAGCUGCCACCCUAUGCAGUUUCUGUCAGUCACGAUGGCUCCUCACUUGCCAGGAAAUUGUUCGUUGUUAUCAACAGAGAGCCAUUGCUUAGAUUUGUCUCUGAGCGAGGUACGAGGGUGAGUGCCUGUGUCUGUGUGCAUUCAUAUGCAAUUUGGCUUCCACUUUGUCUCCCCGGAGGUAGAGAAGAGAAACUAGAAUAUCUUUCUUUCUGCCUCUGGGCAUGUAGUUUUUAUGGCCUGGCAGACUGAUUUGAACAGAGACGCCAAUGCAGUUUCCUCCCCAGAAUCUCUCUCCUGAGAUCCUGAAGACCACCUGAUUCUUUCAGACCUUGAAGCCUCCCUUUCUACAGGAGACUGGGCUCUUUCCUGUUUCCUCUAUCACAUACCCCCAAAGUUCUGACUCAUCUCCAAUACAUAGCCUGCCCUGAACAUACCCUGUAGACAUCUCGGGAGAGACACAGAGACAUGGGAGCCUCUACUCAGACCCAUCCCAAACAUGGACAUUCAGCUGGUACGGUCCCAGCCCACCAGCUCCUAAUUUGCAGAUACAAAACCAAGUAUCUCUAAUUUUCACAUUUUAGCCUCAGGCUCCCAUCUCCUAACCCGUAAGCCAUUUUAACUAGUAGCCUGGACUCUAGCAUGGAGACGUCAGAAUGUCAGAUACUUUUUCUUCAAUAAUAAGAACAUGGAGGUUUCCAGAACUCCUCGGUGAGAGCUAGGUGCUCUAGCUGUGGGAGCUUGGAAUCAGAGCCUUUAUCUACCUCCCUUCCCCUUCCUCCCCACAACAGGAGGUGAGUUACUGUGUAACGGCACCUGAUUACACACCAGUACAUUGGUUCUUUUCCAGUAGCUGUGAUAAAACACCCUGACAAAAACGAGAGAGAGAGAGAGAGAGAGAGAGAGAGAGAGAGAGAGAGAGAAUAAUUUUGGCUAUCUGUUUGAGGCUCAGUCCAUUAUGGUAGGGAAGAUAAGGCAGCGGGAGCUUGGGAUGCUCACAUUGAGCCCACAGCCAAGGAGCAGAGAAUGUCGUGGGUGCAUGCGAGUGCCCAGCUCCCUGUCUCCGUUUUAUACAGCCUGAGAAGUGGUCCAGCUCACCGUAAUGCAGGCUUUCCCACAUGAGCUGACGUAAUCUGAAUAAUCCAAUAGCCCAUCAUCUCCCAGCUGAUUUUUGGUUUUGUCAAGCUGACAAUGAACACACUGCAAAGGUCAAAGGUGACGUGAAGAUGGCUCUCUCCAUCCAGGAGCACAGCUAGUGGCCACUGGGGUUUCUUGUCUUCAUGGUCAUGUCGUUAGUGACAAUAUGGCAGCAUAGCAGGAGUGAUUGCAUGAGCUCACAGCUGUGCCAGGCAGUAUGUAAGGUACUUGGCAUGUAUCAGUGGCCCCAUUUGCCUUUGCUUCUAAGCGAUAAGCACGGUUUUUACCCAAGGUUUAUAGGUUAGAUCACCUUGCUUAAGGCAUGGGGUGAGUGUGGAAUACAGUUUGGAGUUGUGGCACCAACUCCAUCACAAACAGCUGCAGCGGAAGCUAAGCUACGCAGAAGGUUGUGUCAGGACACCAAUGCAGAGCUCAGGAAAAGAACAUUUAAUUAAUGCACACAGGGGAGCCUGGGCGCCUGACCUAGAUAAGCCUCAAGUUCAGCUGGUCCUUAAGGCCUGGCCUCCCCGGAAUCCCAGGGCUUGAAAGGCUGAGGGAGGAGAAUUGUAACUUGUAGGCCAGCCACAGCUAGGUAGGGAGACCCUAUUCCCAAAACCUACAACAGACAAACAAGUAAAACACUAUAGGGUCCUCGCAGGCCGCAGGCCGCAGGCCAAUUAAGAGGCAGCAUGACUUCAGAAAGUGAGGCAGGGUCAGAAGGAAACACCGUAGUGGUGGGAGGAGUCAGAAGAAACACCUGAGUGGUGGGAGGAGUCAGAAGAAACACCUGAGUGGUGGGAGGAGUCAAAAGAAAACAUCUGAGUGUGGGAGGAGCUACUUAAUGUUUUUCUGCACUUCUUUUUCCAGGGGACUUAGGUUUGAGAGCUCCAGGUUCACUUUGUUGUUUUAUUUAAAGAGCGUGGUUCUUCCCUCUCAAUUUGCCCCAGAAGAUUCUUAAACCAUCGUCAGGAUUUCAAAAACCCACAGAGAGUUCCCAGGCAUGGAUGCAGUGGACCAACAAUGCAGCACCAGGAACGGAGUGCUGCUCUAGCGGUCCUACCUGCAGGCCGCCUGCCAUUCCUCUCUGAUUGACACCACAAAGCAGGGCUGUGCGUGGAGAUCUCAGAAGCCCCAGCUGGAGCUUCUGCUUCUAGAUUCCCGGAUCUCUUCUCUGCAAGCAGAGGCAAUAGCAUGGGGGAAGAGAAGGCCAGGGAUCCUGGUACUUCCUAGCUGACUAUAUUAGCUGAAUGGAGUUUUCUGCCCAUUGUGCAUUGGGCUCUGUGUCUGGUGGUGUGAUCAGUCUCCACUGUUGUGGCCUCCGGUUUUCCCCCUGAAAAUAACUAGAACUGAGCCAUAAAGCAGCCCGUGACUCACUGUCGUUAAGCAGAUGAAGUGCUACUGAAUAGACGAGUGGCGAGGCUUGAGCAAACAGAAUUCAGCCACAGUGGUGGUGGGCGAGAUGGAGAGCAGGAAAAGGGAGAGCCACCCAGUUGCUGGCAUCCCCAGGGUCUGUGGGGACAAGCCAGUGGCAGCAAGACGUCUUGUCUAGGGGUGUCUAUGACUAAGAUAGACUUGUGGGACUGUAGGAGAGGAGACAUGGCUGUUGUGACAGAGUUGUGGCUCACAUCCGGACAGACCACAUUAGGCCAAAGCAGUUCCAUGAGAGAGAGGCUUAUUGUGGGGGAAGGGGACAAAAGGGGACGACGGAGACAAAGGGGGAAAUGAGAGAGGAGGGAGGAGGAGUAAAGGUCAGGAAGAGUCUGCCUUCUAUUUAGGCUGUGAUGUAACCACGUGCAGGUAAAGGUGAGAGGUAAGCCAAAUGGAUGCUGGAAUGUAUGGAGAUUGCCAUGGCAACAGAUGCACGAGUCCCUGUCGCCUAUGGGUGACGUCACCAUCAUCACUGGGUUCAGAGGCGAUUUGUAGCCAACCCUAAAGCCAGUUCCUCAUACCAACUUUGGGGGUAGACCCCAAAGGGCACAUUUGCUGUAGUCAGCUCCAAGGAUGUCCCUACUUUCAAGGAAACCCCUUGCAUGUAUGUGGGUUUUACUGUGCAGCCCACUGCCCAGGGACCUUCUUAGAAGGUGGGCUUGGGUCCAGUGAUCUGGAUGGGGCUUGAGCAUGUGUGUUUGUAACAAGCUUUCAGGAAGAGGUGUCUCCACCAAUGGCUAAAGACACAUUGGGAGCAUAUGGCCAAGAAGAUGAUGGUAGGGUCCUCCCAGAAAUAAAGACUUGACUCAAGUGUGACCCGCCAUGUUUGAAUGUCUUGAUAAAACACCCCAAAGUGUCUCUGAUGUGGGAAGGGGAAGAACCUAGGAUUCAUGGCUUCUGCUGAGAGGGACAGCCAAGGGUUACUGAAGGGCAAGAUGAGCAGAAAGACACAGGGAGUGCCCCGGACCUGAUGAUCCACAGAGCCCAUUCAGCACCAGCCAGUUACUGCUUGGAUCCUACAAUCAUGUGGCAUCCUUCCCCAGGGGACACCCGGUGGCCUCAUUGAGGUGGAAGAGUGACCAGAGAUCUGCUUUCCCCCCAGUCCCCCAUCCUCCACCUGGGCAUAGCUGUCAGCCAACACAGCCUGGGGAGAUAGGCAUUCUGAAUUCCUGAGACAUGAGUGUGCAAUCGUGUCUUGAGUUACUCUUCAGUGAUGUCUGGAAGAUGGGUCCUUGGAGGUCAUAAGGUCAGUCCUCAGAGCGAGAUGGAGCAAACAGUGAUGGAGCCAUGAAUACCAGGAUGGAGAGACAGUGUCAAGAGCUAGCGCAGUGGACCCUGGGGCCAGGGUGGACCACACAGGCCCUCCUGCUCAUGCCAUACUCUUAUUUGCAGAGCUAGUCUUCUUUUCAGCUUGAAGAAAGGGAGGGCCAGCAUCCAGGUUCAUGGUAUUUGUCACAGAUGCCAAAUCACAAAGGCCUGUGCCAUAAAUCUCCCAUUUAGAAGGUUCAGGCUGUUGAUGUCCAACCCAUUUCUCCAGCCUCAGGUCAGGGAACCAGGAAAUUAUCCCUGAGAAAUGGUGCUCAGGCUUCUGGGCUGAUUGCUGAUCAGUGGCGUGGCCCCUUGAAGCCCUCCUUGGAAUCCAGAGGCUCUUCCAGACAAGAGUAUAUAACCUACCAUAGUUGCCUAGAUACCCAACGCCACCCACUUUGUCCUUACUUCCUAGAGAGAGUCAUACUGCACAGUAACCCCUGAGCUCUAGGUCAGAAGUUCCUGACACUUUUGUCCUCCUACAGAGUCUGCAGGUGUUUUGGCUGUCACCCCUUAGUCAUGUGAAUCUAAUGGAUAGCGACCAGGAAUGCUGACAAAUUCCUACUAAGGCACAGAACAGAGUGACUCAGCCCUAACUGGGGAGAGGCCUUGCUCUAGAUAAGUAUUUCUGGGGUUCAGGGCUAGCCUGGGGGAACUGGUGCCCAGGCAGCAAGCAGGGCUGCCUCUUUGCAGACAGCCUGCCUCAGAGUAAGACACUGGGGCUUAAUGUGUCCCCUUUCAGUGACAGUGAGUGAGUGUCUUCUCUGCCAUCUGGCCUUGUUAUCUGCUUUUCAGGCUGUGAUCAGGUCUUUUGCCUGAUGUCCAGGUGGCUUUCAUAAUGGCUGUGACCUACAGAGGAUGCAGGGAAAAGGCAGAGUUUCCUCACCUUACAGUCCAUGGUGCAUAUCCAUGGACUUCAGCCUUACCUGAGAGUCAGCACAGAUCUUGUUCUGCACCAGUCAGUGCAGCUCUGGAUAGUGGCUGAGACCUCAGGAAGUGAGGUCACCUUUCUGUUCUCAGCUUCCCUGCUUGCAAGAGGCAUGGAAGCAGGUUUACUACCCAUGCAAACAUUAGAAUGGCGUAGACAUUCAGAAUACUAGUUCUGGCGUAAGCAUCCCUAAACUCUGAUCAUGCGCUUCGUUCUCCUACCUCGAGUGGGCUGAGUGGGAAGAGCAGUCGCGUCCCCAUGCAGUGUCUAGGAGCUGAACAAUGGAGUACUGCAGAGUUGGCAGAGAGCGGGUCAGGAUCUCAGAGAAACAGCUCUCUGAAGCCUGACUGACUGCAGGUGAAUCCUGUCUUGGGUUUUGGUAAACAUGGAUCUGAGGCAGUGGUGCUCAAAAGGGAAUAGCAGUCCAAGCUAGUGAAGACAGGGCAUGUGUCUCCUGGAUGGAUGCCCUUGCCUUGUAUCUGGGUAUGCAAGCCUAUAUAUUCAAACACACUUGACUCCCAGACUAUCCUUCAGUGCUUUGAGGACUCUCAUUUUAGGCUUUUUAAAUUGUUCUUAGCAUCCACUAGAUGUGAAUAUUCUAGCAACGGACAAACACUGUUUUAUUUUUCUGUGUCUCUUGUCUUUUUCCCAUGGAAGAGCCGAAGGCAUCCAGAUCUAAUGACAGAUUUGACAUAGUUACAGGUGUAGGGUGUCAACGUAGGUGUGACCAAUCGGUCAGCUCACUGAGACAGAAAACUACAUUUGUAUAUCAAGACUUCUAUUCUUGGUCAUUCAAGGUCACAGGCGAAAAGUUCGUGCGAUGGAAUGUCAUCCCGGCUCUCUCUUCUUGCAUUUUUCUGGUGGGAAACUGAGACAAUUGAGGCCAUCAGAGUGAGUGGACUGGUUUAUGCACUGGAUUCAAUCUUAGUCCUGAUAGAGGGAUGAGAAGGAAUACUUCCAGCCCCUCGUCUGGUCCCUAAAGGGAUACACCACUGUUUCUUUAUUCCCAUGCCUAAAAUACUCACUUACCCAAUGUUACAGAUAAUUCAUGGGACUCCUUCCUCCUGAGGACCUAGGUGCUGGUUUCUGUGCUGUAAGCAGAUAGAUCACACAUGUAGACAUGUUCACCUCCACUCCUGCCAGGUGCUAUAAACCAGUCUUUCUCUAUCAUUAAAAUGACUAUUAUUUAGUGACUUUUCCCCAUCCAUCCAAUGUCCUCACCCUCCCCUCCAUCCAAUCCUUUCUGAGUUUUGGAAAGAAGAGUGCCAGGACAUUGUGGUUGGCACAUUCAUUGUUUAAGCAAGCUCUGAUGGCUAAAGGUUAGAAACUUUCACUCUCUCCCUCCUGUAUGUGCUGACUCCUCCCAUGCCAGGGUGAGGCCCGUGGACAGAAUUGGGGUGAAGAGUCCCGGCCAUGGAGAAGGAACAGGUCUCUGUACAAGGAGAUGUAGACUGUGGGGAAGGUCAGAAGUGAGAGUCCAAGCAGUUUAGUGUAUGUAUGGAUAGAGCCAAGGUGCGACUCAAGGCAAUGUGAGCUCCUUACCCCAAGUCCAUCAGCCCACCCCAGUUCUGUCUUUCUAUAGUCACACAGUGGGAGUUAGUUGUACAUGGUGUUAUGGGAGUUCUUAGCACCAGUUGCUCUGUCCUAUGUCUACCCUGGUUACUCUUUACAGACUGUCCCUUUCCUGGGCUUUAGUUGGAGCAGUCGUGUGGCUGCACCAUGACAACAUCUUCCAAUCAACACACUCACCUGCUCUCAAGCACACAGUCAUUCUGUGUGCCCAGGUCUAUUCAACAUAUGUGCAAUUCAAACGCAUUUACUUAGGUAACUCCCCUGUGCAUGGAGACUCACUCACAUCCACUCCUGAACACACACAGGCACUCAUAUAAGCACAUAUACUUGCUUGUAUGUGUAUAAACACACACGCACACAGAUACACACACACAGACCCGCCCUGCCCCCCCCCCACGUACCCACCUUUGACUGACCAAAACUGCAGAAAGCAGCUUUGAACAAGCAUCGGCAUCUUUUAUAUUUUCCAGCUUCCUGUGGUGACCCUGUAGCUGAUUGUAUUUGAAGGCUGCAGGGGUUGUGCCAUUCUGCAUAAUCUGUUUCUCUGGUUGUCUGUAAGCUCACAAGAACCCCCACUUGGUUUUGUUCAGGAGGUCGUUUUGUUAUAGCAAGCUGCUGAAACGUUGCAGCACAAUAGCCAUCUUUUGAAUGGUACAGGUUCAUGAAUACUGAAGGUGGAGUUUCCUUAAGAUUUGAAAGACUUGGGCUUUGAGAUGAGACACACUUGGUACUACUAUUCAGCUCUGAAUUCUGCCAUUUAUAGGUCUUGCAAGUUUACAGCCCUGGCUUAACCUUGAAGACCUUGUCAUUUCUCUGUCUGUAGACAGGCAGACAGCCAUAUUUGUUUGUGAGAUGCCUUUGAGAGCUGGGAUUCCUGUGGGCUGAGCUCUCAGGCUUCAGGGGUGACGUUCUAUAGGAAACUCUGCCAGAAUGUGUUUGUGAUCUAGGUGUGAUAGGGUAGGUUACUUAUGACAGAAUUGCCUAUUGUUGAGUGGAGAGAAACUUCCAGAAGGAAAGGAAAGGCUGUUUCUGGGCAUCUUGGGCUUCUUGUGGCAUUCCAGGCAAAGAAGAUUUGGGUGAGUUGUCAGUCGAAAACACAUGCAGGCUAAUGCUGGGCCUCCAAGAUCUCCUGAGUCAGUGGAAAGAGAGGAAUUAGCAAGCUGCUUCAACCAGGGGGCAGGAAGCUUAGAGGCCAGAGCCAGAGGAAGCUAUCAAGAGCUAUGCUGUGGGAGGUUCUGUGGCUCCUGGGGCUAUGGCUGUGCUCAUUUCCCAAGAACAGGAUCCUGCCCAGGCAGCUUAGGCAAGGCCAAACCACAGCACAUAACCCAAACCUCAGCGGCUGCCUGAAUAGAAUGGAGGCCACUUAAUCCCCUUCCUUCUCCUCUCAUUUAGAAGACCACGAAUGCAGUUCUAAGGCAUACUCAGGACCAGACACAGGGAACAGAGAACCAAGAAACCCCUGGCACUCAGUCUCCUGGGUCCAGCCGUUCAGCCUUUGUAAUAAUUAAUUAGUCACAAAUUAGUAAACGAUAACCAGGAAGCAAUAGGAAAGCCAGGCUGUGACUUCUAGUGAUUCUAGACAUGUUUAAUAGCAACCCAUCCAGAACAGAACUACCUGCCUACAUCAUGUUAAGAGUUCAACAGGACAUGGCGAAGCCACAGAGGAGGAGGUGUCCUGUGUUACUCUAGGGAUUCAGAGUCUUUUGGGAUGACAAGGCACAUCUCAAGAAAGUCACUGCCAUACUCCCAGUGACUGCAGUGUCAGGUGCUUGGCCAUCUAGCCAAGUUCCAGCAGGCUACGAGACUGGGGAGCCAGCUAGUUAGGAAUCUCUUCUUCCUUCUUCCUGAAGAGAAAUCCUGGAUAGGCAGACAAUAUCUUCCAUAUAUCCAGGAAGGAUAUUUUAAGAAAGUCAGGGCAUGCAAAUGGAUGGUGAAGACUUAUUUCUUUUUGUCCCAAAUCUUGGAAUCCGGGGACUGUGUUGUCAUAGAGAAGAGACACAAUGCUUUUGUCCCAAGACAUUAAAUAGUCACUUGAAGUGGACAAGCUCACUCUUUUUUUUUCUUUUUUUUCAGAGCUAGGGACCGAACCCAGGGCCUUGCGCUUGCUAGGCAAGCGCUCUACCACUGAGCUAAAUCCCCAACCCGACAAGCUCACUCUUACAUCCAUGUGCAUCUGGUUAGAAAAUGGGCCACUAACAACCUCUUCUUCCCUUGGGACUUUUCUUGGGCUAAGUCUCUAAGCCAACGGUAUCUCUGGUAUGGCCCUCUCUAAUAACCUACAAGUUCUGUUCAGCCUUGACAAUGGUCCCUGCUUUCCUCCUGUUUUAACCGUCAACAUUUUGUCAUCUCAGUGUCCUCUUGAGAGGAGCCACUUAUGUCUAAAGACACAGUUUUCCGCUGUAUUCCAACCUGUUUCUGAACCUGAUAUCCUCCAUGUUAUAGAAUUGAGUGUCCACUUUAGCCAGCGUUAGCCCUUGAACUUCAGAGCAUACUCCAAGGUUCCGCUGUCACUUACCGUUUCUUUACCUUCUCUUCCUCCCAUGCCCUAGUUGAGAGCAAAUCUCUCUUUCUUAUCUCUCUGGGGGCCUGAAACACGAUUGUUAGGAGGAGUAAGUUCCAACUAUGGGGAUAAAAACAUCCACUCAAGGCAGGUCUUGGCGGAGUACCUGGUAAUGGCAUCACUUCAGGAGGAUGAUUUGACAUCUCUGAGCUUGACUCUUCUGUUAUAAUCUUACAAAUGUGGCCAUCAGAGGGAGACACGGUCAAUGCUUCUCACAGUGACUGGCACAUAGCCGUGGCCGUGAUUCUAACAUGUCAUCCUCAUUUCUUUGCACAAACACAACUUGUACUAUUAAAGUUCAUCUUGCUCCCUAUCUGCCGUUCUUCUACACAUGUGACUUAUGAGCCAGCACCUGGCUAACCACCUUCAAUAAGUCCAGUCUCACUGAAUAUGUUCUCAGCGGUGUUGGCGAUACACAGGCUGUUUCUGAUUUCUAGCUACAGUGACAGAGGCCGAGAUGAGGAAGGUGAACCGGGGCUCCCGGAGGAUGCCUCGGACACCGUUGUCCAUCACCUCUGGCACUGAUUUCUGAUUAUUUGCUUAUCUCAUGGCACCUGGUCCUUGGCAGCAGCAGGAUGCACCUGGGCUGAGAAAGGACAGAAAUAAACUCGAUAUCUCGGAGGUUGUCCUGCUGGUGAAGGGCAGAGAGAAGCAGGUAGGCUUGAGAGAACAGAGCAUGCUUGGUUGGAUUGGACUGUACUCUUCAUUUCUAUGAAACUACGUGACCUCAGUCCAGGGUGGGGAAGGCCCUGUAAGAUAGGAAGUGGAUUGAGGAAGAGCGGCUUAUGUCGAGGCUCUUCUAGAAGGUGUCUUUUCAUGAUAAACCUUCAUGUUAAGAAAUACUCUUUCUCUAGAUGCAAGACUGUGACUAAGCUAUGAUGGACAUAGAGUAAUAGUCAAUGAUACACUCAUGGUCCUCAAGGUGCCAAAAGUCCAGGCAGAUGAGGGAAGCUAACAAGAGCCUGGUCCUGCUACAGGGAACCAUCUGGCAGUGCCUGGAUGCUGACUGAUAAGAGCAUGACAUUGAGAGACAGAACGUUGAGGCAGGGUUGGGUUUUUCCAAGUACCACGCCUUACAUAAUGUAGCCACAUGACCUGAAGGGAGGAGUCAGAAGAGCCAAGACCAUACUGAAAACCAAAAGAGCUUUAAGAGUUUGGGCCAUAAGUAUAUAAGGGAUAGGGGAAGUAGGGAUGGCACGGAAGAGAAAUCUCACCGUAACUAACAAGGCCAGUCCCUGGCAGGUGUGGAAGCAACCUGGAGGAUGCUGGGGGUAUCUUGGAGAAGUAAAAACAAGUAAAUAAACAAACCAAACUAGGGCCACAGACCUGGGUUCAAGUCCUGAUAAGUGGGAACUGGCCACUCAUCUUGAACAAGUCAUUGAACUCUCAGCCUCAGUUUCCCAUCCUUGGAAUGGCGGCCAUAGUAUCUACUAUGAAGUACUGUGGGCUGAGUCAAGAAUGGAGUCUGCAAUACGGGGAUUCACCAUGCUGCAGCUAAGGGAGCUGAAUAGGCAUGGCCUUCUUGACCUGCACCUGGACCGGCUCUGCUUUGGAAGCACACACACACACACACACACACACACACACACACACACACACACACACACAAUUUUGACAAGAAAAUGUCAUGAUAGCCUCGGGCUCUUUUCCUGUUGUUUUAUAAUGGCAAACAGUCUUUUGUAAGUGAGCACCUUGGGUUUCAAUGGUAAACUGAGGCACGGAGAACCCUCCAGGUUCGAUUGGGUCUCACAUUACAUCAUAUGUGUGUAUUCCAUCUGCAAACUGGGUGUCUAUGCCUGAAUACUCAAGAGGAGCAUGUGGGUUCCUCUGAGGACAAGCAAAGGAAGUUUCUGACCCAGCAAAAGAAGUCAGGGGAUCAGGGUGGACUGAACUCCAAUCUUCAUUGUUCAUAAGGGUUUCAAGCUCUUCUGAUAUUGGAGGUCCAGGAUCUUCGGUUUCCAUCAGGGCACCCACUGAGGCACUGUGGUAAUCUAUGCUAACACCCAUCACUGCCUUAGCCUGUCCCUCAUUGGGACUCAGGCUGGUGAGCGGCUUGGACUCCAGUGCAGAGAACCGUUAGGAGUAUUUGAAGAGGUAUUGGUGGAUGCUGUGGGUCUUUGUCUCUUCUGCCUUGAGAUCCCCCUUUUCUCCUUGAUGGCUGGGUACUUGAAGCAAGUCUGAGCCAGUCUCCACCACUCCAGAAUGUCUCUGCUGGGCCUGACUUGGCAUUCCUUUUCUAAGGGACCCAGUGAUUGGGAGUCCUGAUCCCCUGUCCCUCCCUCUCUUUUUCCGCGCCCCCAUCCUUCCCAUAGCUCUCUAGCUCUUUCUCCCAAUCUCUUGUCUAAUCUCACCCCACUGUGAUCCCUGGCACUCCGCCCGCAGGAUUGGAGCUGGGAGGCGGUGACUAAUGUGCUCGGAGGUGAGUCAUCUGCUAAAUAUAAAACCCACUCACAUCCCUGGAUGCAAAAAUCCUGAGACUCCGCAUCCUUCUCCAUCCCUCCCCUCCUGGGGGCGGGGCUGAAGGAGUUUUACUCUGCACAGAAAACAAGUAAACACCACCAGGCAGCUGCAGUGGUACCAGCAUCAUCCCUGUGUCCUUCAGCUGUGUCCUGUCAGGAUAGCCAAUGUCCCUGGUCUAUCUAGGUACUCUGGGGAAGAGGAUUAAGACAGAGUCUCGACUCCUGAACCCAUGGGCAGUUAAGGAGGCAGGAAUUUCUUUACGAUCCCCCCCUCUUUUUGGCUUGUGCCCUUUUGUGUCACGAAGUUCAAACUGCCCCUUGUACUCAGCCUCCAAACGCAGGCACGCCUGGCAGAGUCCUGGAAACACUCCUGUAUGCAGGAUUGAAAUGCAGGGUUUGCAUAUAAUACCUGCUUCUUACAUACAGUUGGAAUUUUUUUCUAGGCUCAUAGCUAGUGUCUUAAAUUUGAGGUUCUUGUGUAUGGACAGACACCACACACACACACACACACACACACACACACACACACACACAGACACACACACACAGACACACACACAUACACGGACACCACACACACACACACUCACACACUCACACACAUAUACACAGACACACACACAGAAGCACACACACACAAAGCACACACACAGAAACACACACACACACAGACACACACACACACAGACACCACACACACACAUACACACACACAUACACAGACACACACACACAGAAACACACACACACAGAAACACACACACACACACACACACACACACACACACACACACCGCUCUGUAUAUGCAUGGUGUCUUUGACUAUAUACAUGAACACAUAUAUGCAACAUCCAAUAUGCAUUUAAUAUUUGAAAUUGCCUUUGUGUCAGGUGGCCCUUUAACCAUUUUUCGGGAAUGUUCUUACACUCUGCUGAGAUAGGGCCCCUCAAUGUUCUCACUUUAUAGACGUGGAGCCUAAAAUAUGCAAGAUCCAGACAGUUGUCCCAAAGAACAAUGCCAGGACUGAGUGAACCUAUAUGUCUAUAAGUUCCACGAGCCUUGCCUCAGGCUAAGCUAAUACUUUUCAGACUUCUGUGAAAUCAACAUAGGCUAAGAAGAGUCUCUCUCUCUCUCUCUCUCUCUCUCUUCCUCUCUCUCUCUCUCUCUCUCUCUCUCUUUCUCUCUCUCUCUCUGUGUGUGUGUGUGUGUGUGUGUGUGUGUGUGUAUCCACAUACGCUUACACAUGAAACACAGCUUGGGAGAAAUAGCACUAACGUUGACUACCUUCAAAUUCUAUCUUUUCUGUGAGUCCCAUUCUACUGGAAUCUACCCUGCUCUUCCAAACCUAAUUUCUUCCCAGUUUCACUUUGAUAGUCCCAGGGUCCAUCAUGUUUGCUCUGUGGCCCUCUGAGUCCAUGAAAUACAUUGUGACAUCCCAGUGUGCUCACUGCUUAAGUGGGUGGUGUGAGAGCUGAGUCCUGCUCCUAAAAGAUCAGACUUGCUCUGUGGCUUCCUUUAUUUACACAAGUGUCCUUACUUCUCUGGGCUUUGUCUUCGUAGAGCCUGUUAGCCAGAUUAGCCAGGAAGCCCAUAUCCUCCCAGACUUAAAUAAGGUGGCCUCCUCAAGUGUGGGUUGGCAUGCGCAUGGCAUGCGUGUGAUGCAGGGGAAACCCAACAGAUGGCCUGGCGAGUGUCCGCUCUGGCUCCAGGGUGUACUUUCUCCUUGCAGCACAGGGCAUAAGGAUGUCACCGUUUCCAGCUUGGGGACAUUGGAUCUGGCUGAAGCUCACACUUUCUCAUGUAAAAUGCUCAUUUCACUCCUCUCCUCUUUCUAUUUUCCUGCUUCCCAUAUUUAUCCUUUUGGAUUCAGGAAAGACCAAGGCAAGAUCCUUUUGCUUGAUCAGCAGAGGUCUAUAUGCACAGAGGAAUGCAGAGAUGAGUCAGGGGGCAGAAUCGUUUGUCCAAGUGCACCACCACACCUGUGUUCGGAUCUCUGCUGGGCCACUGAGAGUCUGCAUGACCGAAGAGUCAACACUGCCUUGUCUGGACAUGGUCAGACAGGCAGCACCCGGAUGGGUCUCAUCCUGAAAACACUUGUAGGAAAUGAGAGACUAUAAUUGAGACAGGAAGGAGAGAGCGAGUGUUAGGGAGAACCUCCCAGUGAAGGGUCCGUGAAUCUGGAAGGAUAGGAAAUACUACAUUUUUAAUAAUUCAGGGAGCCUGCCAGUCUCCAAAACCUGGCCAUACGUACUUGGCCAUUGCAUCUCAGCCUUCUGUAGUGGCUUGUCUAGGAUGGUUUGUGGGAGGUCAGACAACCUAAGUGUCACAGAAUUGCCAUAGCAGGUCACCCGUGUGCACUGCCCAGUGUCACCGAUGAGAUUCAGAGGAGACGUGGCUUGCUUGGACCUCGCAGACCAUCAGAGACUCAGAGCUAUCAUGCUUGCUAGCUACAUCCAAGAUCCCAAAGAUCUCUGAGUCUAGGGGCAGUCUUGGAGUAUAUCCAGGCCCUCUACCUCUCUGACACUGAAUGAGCCACUGGAAGGAUGGUCCCUCUUUCCCAACCUCCAGUCCUCCCAGGUCAACCCUGGCCAGGUAAAUAUGUCUCCUCCUGUAGGUAUUAGUUAACUUCUUGUGGCUAUACUGAAACAUCCGAGGAAGGCUAACUUUAUAAAGAAGAGAAGUUUAUUUGACUCCCAGUUUUAGAGCUUUCGGAUUUCAAAAAAGCAUGGCACGGGCUCUGGUGAAGAGUGCAUGGCAGAUGGCAGGAGUGUGUGGGGGAAGAAGGAUCACACCUCAGACAGAGUGAGAUUCAGCUGGGCUUUUAUAACAACCUUCCCACAAGUACCAACCAGAGACCCAUGAGAAACUUCUCAGUGUUUCUGAGGAAGGCACAUCCGCAUGGACCUGAAGGCCUUCUGAUAGAAGUGGCCCCAUUUUUGCAUGUGUGCCUGUGUGGCCUGUGUGCAUACAUGUUUGCACAUGUGUGGGUGAACAUGUGGGUAAUGUGCGUGGGUGUGCAGGCCAGAGGUUGACGCUGGGUUUCUUUCUUGAUGGAUCUCCACCUUACAUAUUAGGGCAAAUUUCUCACUUGAACCCAAAGUUUGCCAUGGCAAAUAGUCUAGUUAGCUGGACCUCUCCAAGGAGCCUCUCCCCUCCCCCGCAUCUGCUUCCAGAGUGCUGGGGUUAUCCACCCAGUGUUUCUAUGGGUGCUUGGGGUUUGGACUGUGGUCUUCAUGCUUGCUCGAAAGUGCUUGUCCCAUAUAUCCAUCUCUCCAGCCCCUAGAAUCUUACCUCUUAAAGGUGCUCCAGUCUCAACCCUGCCACCCUGCAGACUAGAGUCCCAACACACACUCCCCUGGGCAUCGAGUAACAGCUCUCUGUAUCACUGUUUCUCUAAAGCAAGGCUUCCUUUAGAGGGAGUUUCCUUGGGGGUGGGGGUGGGGCGAAGUAUUCACACCAAUUGUCUGAAGAUCCAUGUCUUCUCAGCGUCCUCCCAUCUCUGGAAGGGAUGACCAAGCUGUCAGGCUGGUGACCUUUGCCCUCCACUCUUAUCUGGAAUAGAGGGAGUCCUCGGGGUGUCUCGGAAUGCUGAGGCAUAUCAGACGAGAGUUCUUUUUCCUUGUGCCUAGGUGCCUCCCCCUCCCCUCUCGCACCCCAUCAGAAAUCUCUUGGAACCUAAUUUUGUAACUGAAUUCACACUCUGAGAAAGCCUUUGAGGAGUCAUCUUGCUUCCUCUACUCUGUGAGAAAACCUAUCUGCAGCUGAUGACCAGACCCUCUGAAGACACAAAAUGCCCUGCUCACCGAGAGCCACAGUGGACUCUGGGCUUUCCCUCCCCCCAUCCCUGAAGCAGGGGCUGUUGCCACCCUUGUCAGGGACCGGGGUAAGGUGUGUCCCUGAGUUCUCCGUGCAGAGGGGAAAGGAAUACCAUGUACUGUAUUCCUUUGUAUAUAUGCACUACUGGAGCAGGCAGGGCCUGCAUUUCUAGAAGCUUUGGAGAGCUGGUUUGAGAAAGGAGCAGGUUUGCCUCUGUUUUCUUCACCCAGGAUCGGACACCUAUGGUAUACCUCCCACUCUUGUAAAAUGCAUUUGCUCACAGUGUCAGGCCCAUGUCUCAGGAGAGAGGCAGGGACAUACAUGCUCCUGACCAUCUGAGUUACAGCGAGGCAAACAGACCUACAGCCUCCCCCAACCCCUUCCUGUCUAUUCUGGAGAGCCUAGGUAUGGACUUCUCAUGAUUUCAAGCAAGAGAACCUUGUGGAAACUUCCAGCACCACAAGGGAGGGAGCGUGAGUUUGCAAGGCCCUCUCUGCAGCACAGACAGUUCCCUUGGCUCAGGUUAGAACAGGCACCAGGGAUGGAGACUCUAGGUUUGCUGAGGGAGAAAGGCCAGUCAGUGCAGAGGAAAUGGCUCUGCGACAGAGAGGCCUUGCUCAGUGGGAACCCCUAGCCAUAUGACAAGGUACCUAUUAACACUGCGUCAUCUGGGAACACAAGCUUACUCUUGACUCUAUAGGCAGCAACCAAGAAGUGAGGGCUCUCUGGUCUGUGACAGAUUGUCUCGCUGUCCUUGAUCUAACAGAGAAGCCACCUCUCAGCCACUAAGUGGCAAGAAUGUUCUUGAUGUGGACCUCCAUUUUCAGGACAUCUGAACUCUCUCUCUGCCACCUUGACCUUCAGUAGAGCCUGGCUGCCUGCACUCACCCAGGCUGUUUUCUGAGGUCCCUGUCCUUGGCUUCUGCUGAGCCCUGCCCCCUUCCACUGCAACGAAUCUGAAUGAGGUAGGGUCUGAAGAAUAUGGCGGUGGAAAAGAGAGUAGCCUGGGACUUUUCCCAUAAUGUCUGAGUCAGUCAGCCCUCCCAAACCCUUGAAAGGGAGCUGCCGAGGGCAUGUUUUACUUUAGGCACACAGUCUAGAUUUCUUUACACCCACCCUUGUCAUUUCUGGACAGGGGAACAGCCAGGAUUGCAUCUCUGGAGCUGGGAGGAAGGGUAAUAGAGGUGACUUCCAUAGAGACUAGAACUCCCUGAGUGCAGUAGGUCCCAGAGAGCAUGCGUCGAGUGACAGUAACACCUUCCACCUCUACCUCCAGAGAUGGAGUAAGGGGGCUCCCCAGAUGCUAGCCCUUCCACACCAUCUGAGAGAAUGCAUGGCCUGAAUGUCCUCAGGUCCCUGGUCAGACUGUAGAUUGGCUCCAAGCAUUAAAGGAGACAUGUUUGGCAGUCAGUCAGUCCUGUCUGUGUCUGUCAACCUCCCCUGGGGUUUGACUGCCACCUCUAAGCCUCAGACCUUCACUCCUUCCCAAAUCCCCAGUCUCAUGGUGGGCAGAAGCCAGAGCACCUGUGUUGGAAUCCCAGCCCGGUCGCAUUUCAGUGGAGUGCCCAUCAGCAGGUUAACCAGCCAUUCUUACUCUCAGUCCCUUGACCUAAAAACGCAGCGUGACUGUGCUCAUCCCCUGCCUUGAGAUGCCUGAGGGAUCAGCUGAAGAGAGCCAAGGACACAGGCACCCAGGACAGUUCACAGGCCCAGCCAGGACAACACAUGCUUCAGGGCACACAGGGAGGCCUUCGACUCAGCACGCAGGCCUAAUUCGCCCCUCAGCAGCUUCCUGGUUGGUUAUUCGGCCUCCUUUGCAAGGGAGCUGUGAGGUGUAGGCGCUGACUCAACACUGCCUCUCCAUUUUGGUGACAACGUUUGGCAUCAAAAGGUGGAGAGGGCCUCAGUGCUUCGGUUAGGAGAUCCUGCUGCCUCAAACACAGAACAAGGCCCACUUCACCUUGCCCUACGCACCUAGGAUAAGGACCCAAGAUGUCCAUUUCAUACCCCCACCCCGCCCCCGCCCCAUUUUGGUACCUCUGCAGCAAUCCCUGAGUUGGACUGAUGUUGGCAGAGCAACUUAACAUUUUUGCCUCAGCCUGAUGCCCAAGGUGCCUUUGCAGCCAGGAUGGCAGAGCGGGCUGGUGUUGCCUUGAAAAUACGGGACGCAUCUGCCCCCUAGUGGCAGGGUCAGGAACAACUGCGGCUGCUUCCUCCUUGGCUUGGCAGCCUGGUGGCCAGACUUGAAGACUGGCUUUAGGUCACCAAAGGCUACAGAUCCAAGCUGGGCCACAAGGUGGGGGCACGCUCCAGGUCUUAGUCUUGACUUUCACCCACAGAAUUGUUUGCUAAUUUUUUUUCACUCAGCAAAUACGGAGUGUCAACAUGUGAGACAGUAUGGCUCCAAGCAGUGGUGGCUAAGACAGCCGAUGACUCCAGCCACCUGACACCCGCCUCCUCACUCAAAUGUGAAGUCGAUCGAUUGUACAAACAGAAGCGCCUUAGAAGUUCCUAAAGAGCUGAGAACCAGGCAGGAGACCACGGGGUGAUGUAGCGGCUCCCGUCUCAGGUUUUAGGAGUUAAAGAGACUGCUGUGUAGGAACGACUAAGGUCUUUGUGUGAAGCCUUCUGUCUUAAGGAGCCACAGAGGCUGAAGAGUGGCAUCUGCAGCAGAUGAUGCCGACAGCUCCUCACCUUCCCAGGCAGAGGCUUGAAACUGGACCCUCUGUGCAUGCACAGAAAUAAACUCAAAAUAGAUAAAGACGUCAGUGUAAACCUAGAAAGUAUCAGCCUGAUAGAAGGAAAUGGGAGAUUUCAUGACCUUCUAGGUCAGUGGUUCUCAGCCUCCCUAAGCUGUGAACCUUUAGUAUAGUUUCUCAUGUCAUGGUGACCCCCUUCUCCCAAGCCGUAAGAUUAUUUUCGUUGCUACUUCAUAACUAAUUUUGCUGCUGUUAUGAUUUAUAAAGUAAAUAUCUGGAUAUGCAUAUCUGUUAAGCCAUCCCUCGAAAGGGUCGUUCAACCCCCAAAAGGGGUUGUAAACCCCUGAUCUAGACAGUGGCUCUUGCCCCCCAAACAUAGGUAUCAAGUAAAAUAGACCUACACGUUGCAUCAAAACAAGGCACUUCCACACAGUCAAGAAACAAGCAACAAAGCGAAGACAGAUUGGAAAGCAAAAGAAAACGUUCCCAGCUGUAAGCUGCUAGGGUCUGGCUUCUGCAAUGUCCGAGGAGCAGGGGCACUUAGCUUUCAGCAAACAAAAUGCCUGACUGAAAAUGGGCAAAUAGUCUGGAAAAUGACCUUUCUUGGCCAUGCACCGAGAGCUAUAUUAAAAGUGGGUACUCUCGCUAGACACCAGACACAUAUAAACCGCAAACAUGGUGAGUUCUUCCUACGUGUUUGUUAGGCCACCUAAUGGCCAAGAGCACAAAAGCUAGCAAGGAUUGGUGGGGAUGUGAGAGGGCAGAGGCCACACACUGUUGGUGGGGACGCAGAUAUGACCAUGUAGAUCAGUAUGCAGUGUUUUGUUUUUUAAAAUGGAUUAAAAAACACAUCUACCACAUUUCCCAGUCCCAAAGGGAAUGAAGUUAGCAUGUAAAAAGAAUCACUUGCCUAUGGGGUCCCUUCCUUAAAUCUGUGCAGUGUAGCAAGACCUAGAAUCAUUGUGUCUAUUGAACAUAAAAGGUAAAGGGUAAAGUGUGUGUGUAUGUGUGUGUGUGUGUGUUGUGAAUAUGUAUGUGUGUAUGUGAGAGGGGUGGGGAAAGGGAGAUGGAGAGAAAGAGAGACAGAGACAGAGACAGAGAAACAGAGAGAGACAGAGAUUCCAUUUACAUUGGGUACCUAACGUUGUCUUCAGGUGUGUAGAACAGAAGAUAUGUGGAGAGAGGCUGGAGGUAGGACUGGUAAUAACACUGUAGUGGGUUCUGAGUGUUAGGCAGGAUGGAGAGACCUGGUGGAGAGAGCACUGGGAUUAUGGGUUAUAACAUGAUUGUGAACUUUAAUGUGCUAAGAUAUUCUGAAUGCUAAGUAUGACACAUAGACUAAGAGGCAGAGAUGUGAAUUAGCUGAAUGGACUAAUCAUUUCACAUACACACAGACAUCAGAGAGUCACACUGGACACAUGAAAAAUAUACAGCAGGAAAUCUGGAAAACUACGAAUGUCCUCUUACCUGGGGUUGUCAUUCUAUCCAGUGUGGUGUUUGUUAGGUGCUCAAGCAGGGCUCCCCAACUUUUCUCUUUCCUCAGAGGCAGGGAGCUUCCACCAUCACUAGCCAGGGACAGAUUUCUGGUGCCAAACACAUUGUGUUUUGGUGUGAUGCCAAUAAUUAAACACCAGUGCAGGAAGUGACGGGGAAGACAGCGUGUCAGACAGUUGGACCCUGCUUCCCCUACUUAGAACCUCUUAGGACCUUGGUCAUGACAUUGAAAAUCCCAGUUUGGCCUUUCCCCUAAAGCCAUGCUCCUGGAUCUCAUGAGUCACAAGGAAACUGGAGCAUGUGGCCCCUUGGGCUUUCUGUUGCCAUGUGGGACUCUACCCCAGCCAAGCUUGGUCUGGCUUUUGGAAAGGUGGCUUAAAGACACCACUGCUUUCAUUAGAAGAAGGAGACAAACCCUUAAUAAUGAGCCUGACAUAUCUCACUCAGAUCCAACUGUGUACCAGUGUGUUGAUCAUCUGUGGCAGGCUUGAGAAGACGAUAGUAUGAUGUUUCCCUUGUCUACAGCAUUGUAUACAGCUGAAUGGGGCCAGGUCUUCUGUUUAAUCUGAUUGUUGCUGGGGCUAGACUAUCCAUAGUGACAUCUUCACCCACAUGUGAUCCUCUGCUGGGUGGUGUGAUGAACCAGAGGCUAGCCAGGCAUUUCUCCCUGGUGGUGACUCUACCUAGAUCAUUGGACCUUUCACUUGGUGGCUCAAGGCUGCAAGAGCUACAUGAGGUCUACAGGGGGCGGCACCCCAAUGUGUGUGUCCUUAUGACAUUCCAAUAGACACAAUAAAGGUCACAGGGCUAACCCAAUGAGGGGUCACUGCUGCGGGAGGAAGCCUCAGAAAAGCAGGAAUCCUGGGAAGUGUGCUACUGGUUGCCACCAGUAGGUGUCACCACUUUAACAUGCGACAAUAGGCGAUUACAGUGCUGAUGUUAGGAGCCCCUCAUAAAGUGGUGUGGCUAUAUCCCCAACAGACUGGAGAAUCGGGAUCUAUUUCAUUGGAGCUCUCCUACCCAGAUAUAAUUUUCACCUAGGAAAUUCUAAUGUUUUUCUCCUAGUUUUAUCUGUGUUGCUGUCAUAAAUGCCCUAUGAAAAAGAAACUUUUGGGGAAGAUGGAUUUUUUUUUUAAGCUCCAGGCUAUAGUCUAUCAUUUCUGGGAGGUCACAGUGGCUACAACCUGAAACAACUAGUCACACCACAUCCGCCCAUGAGGGAAGAGAGAAAUGUAUGAAUGCAUAGUCAUUUGUCUGAUUGUUUGCUCGGUUUAGUGAUUUCUUUGCUCUUUUACAGUUUAGGCCCUCCUUCCUGCCUAGGGAGUGGUGCUGCCCACAGUGGACCCUGUCUUUGCACAUCUCUUAAGUAUGUCAAGCCCCCGCAGACACGCCCUCAGGCCAAUGUAGGCAACGCAUCACCGGGUAUCUCUUACCAGGUGAUUUCAGGUUAUGUCAAGUAGUCAGAGCUGAUGUCAUAGCUCCCAUAACCAGAUGUGUCAGAGGAAAACAAAGCAACAGAGUCUCUCUUGUGCUGAGGUGGAGGCUUUAGGAGCUGGUUCUCCCCAUGACACAGUCUAGCCUUCAGACUGUCAUCCCUCUGCAGUAGUUCGCUAGUUCAUCCCUGCUGGAACAGCUGUCUGCACCAACAUUUUACAAUCCAUUCUUCUUUUCUCUUGUCCUCAAAAGUGUCCUGGGAGAAAGUCCCCAGUAGGAACAUUGGCAGUGGGGUCUGUGACAGCGAGUGCCUCAGCUGUCAGUCUCUAAAUAUAAGCUGUAAAGUAAAAAUGACAACAGCAGCAGCAGCAGCAAUAAUAAUAACUCAAUGCCCACUGUUAGGUUGGUAGCAUCAUUAUUUAUUUCAUUUUAAAUAUUCUUUUAUUCUUUUAUGUGUCUUCAUGUUUUGACUGUGAAUCUGUGCACCACAUGAGGGCCUGUUGCCCCUAGAGGCCAGAAGAAGGUGUUAGGUUCCCUGGAAGGGGAAUCAUGGAUAGUGUGAUAAUGAUGAUGCAUGGGAAUAAUAAUAAGUAAACAUUAUUAUUAAUUAUUAUUAUUAACUAAUGCUUAUUAUUGUUAAUAUAUUCCCAGGCAUUGAUCUUAGUGUUCUUGCCUAGGUGUAGAAGCCUAGGUUAAUCAGACUCCCUGACCACUGAACUGCCCUUGUCUUACUCUACAUUUGCUUAUCCUUUUGUUCCCAUCCCUCAUAGGUACCCAGGCUCCCAGGCUUGCUGUACACCUUCACACACACACACACACACACACACACACACACACACACACACACCCCUCGGAAGCACAGAUUGUGAUCUUCCAUGUAAUGUGCUGAAUCUACAGAAAAGAUACUAAGUCACCCAUUGUAUAUGGAUUUUAGGCCCACCCAUGGUUAGAGAUGUGGAAGGACCUUGGAUGGGACACGGCAUUAAACCUCAAUAGCAUCUGUUUGGCUCUGUUCCCAUGGCAACAGUGACAAGCCUGGCUCUGAUGGAUGGACAGGGUGCCCGAUUGCAUAUGUUCAGCCUUUGGUGUCUGCCACUUUAUACCACACCUUGAAUCGAAGAAGGAUUUUUAUUCUCGUUCCAUGAGAUUUGUCCUCUCACAGAGUGUAAUCCAGUGGAGCCAGAGUUAAUGUGGUCAUCUAAUUCUAGACUGUCCCCAUUAGACUCCCAAAGAAACCUCAUCCCAUCUAUAGACUCCCCCAUCUCCCCCUCUCUCCUCUUCUCUGUCUUAAGGUGAUCACUGGUCAGCUUUAUGUCCCUCUGUUGAGCAUCAUAAGCAGAUCUGCCAUUUCUGAACAUUUCAUCCUGUGAGGAAUCCUGUGAUGUGUGGCCUUCCAUGGCUGGCUUCCUUCCUUCAGCAUAAUGUUCAAGGUUCAUCCACGUAGUACCAUUCAUUCCUUUGCCUGGCUGAGUAGUGUUCCGUGGCACACACACAGAACAUUUUGUUUAUCCCAUCAUCUGUGCACACAUUCAGGGGAAAGAAUUGGCAUGGGUUAGAGCUGUGCUUGGAAGAUAUAGAGAACGGAUAUGAUCAAGUCAGGAAGAUUUCUCAGUCAGCAGGCUCAUGAGACAAAGUUAGUAUUUUAGUAAGUUGCUGUGACAAUCAGGUCUGCAGGGAGUCAGAGACAGGAGCGAAGGAGGGCAGGCUACUACAGUAAUCAGGACAGAAAGAGCAGGGACAUCUUUGUGCCAGGUGCAACCUCCAUUUCUCGCUGACUCCUCCCAGUUCCCCUUUUCUCUUUGCUCCCCCACAAGUCCCUCUCUGUCCUUCUCUGUCACAUAUCUCUCUGGGUUCUCUUCUCUCACUCACUUGCUUCCCUCCUUCCCUCUCUUCCAGUCUUUCUCUUCCAUUCUCUCCCCUCUCCUAUCCCUCCUUUUCUUUCUCCCUAGAGUUAAUGUGGUCAUCAUCACUAAUUCUAGACUGUCCCCAUUAGUUCCCCAAAGAAACCUCAUCCCAUCUGCAGACUCCCCCAUUUCCCUUCCCCUUUCUUACUCCCUCAACACUCCCUCAUUCAGUUUUCCUUUAUCUCUAUUCUUUCUAUUUCUCUCUCCUUUCCUCCCCUUCCCUGCCUAUUUCCUUCUCUCCCCCUCUGCCUCCUGUGCUCCUCCCUCUUUCCCUCUCUCUUUUCCCCCUCCCAUUGAGCCUGGAAGCAGCUUAUCUCAGGCAGGAGGCCAGAGAGCUUUCAGCCCUGCCUCCUGUUUCCUUCUGCAUGGCUGUUGAGGGUCAGCUGGUCGCACUCCUUCCUGGAAUGAGCAUGAUGAUAAUUGCCUCUUGCACAAUUAUCUGCCAAGCUCUGUCGGUAAUGAAAUGAAUGAUUUAGUUAUCCUUGUUAGGAAUAGCCCACAAUGCUCAGAAACUCAUUAUUGCAGCCACAAAGCUGGCAGGAAUGCCCUCGGAGGCACCUGCAAGCGGCUUUUCCAAUUAGCCCUCCCUUCUUUGCCAGAGACCACAGCCCCAUCCAGCCCCCACAAAGUGCUGGAAGCAUUUAAAGGGAAACCAAGAAACAAGCCCUGGGCAGAGCUUGCUGGACAAGCACAGGGCCUUGAGCUUGAGGUCUAGCUCUGCAAGAAAUGUGAGUCUGGGCUGGGCUUCCUUUCUGCCACUUUGACCCACACAUCAUGAAGCUGCUUUCUCCCAGUGUAUAGGAAGGAUUACUAGAAGCUCCAUGGUGAUAUUCACAGUGCAGAGGCCACUAUAGUUCUGGGGAAAGCUUGCUUGGCCAGAUAAUGUACACACCCUAUAGCACAUUUCUAUCUCCUACUGCCUCUCUGAGUGCUUUCCUUUUCCAAGGCUUCAUAGUCAUGGUUCAGCCUUGAUUCCUGUCUCAGACUUUCUCUACUGCCUGCAUCUGCUGCGAGUGUCUAGGCUUAGGUGGAUAAAGAAGAACAGAUAGAGGGGUGUAUGGGCAUGGCUGGAGAAAGUUGGACCCAGGGUCACAGAGGUACACAGAAGUGUGUGAGGGAAGUUGUUUCUCUUUUGGGAGAUUCUAUACAGAAGUAGGGAAAGAGUGGCCUGGAGCUAAUUAAAAAUGCUGUUUCAGUUAGAGAGUAGAAACACUGUUUCAGCUAGAGAAACACUGUUUCAGCUGGAGAGUAGAAACACUGUUUUAGUUAGAGAGUAGAAACACUGUUUCAGUUAGAGUAGAAACACUGUUUCAGUUAGAGAGUAGAAACACUGUUUCAGCUAGAGAGUAGAAACACUGUUUCAGCUAGAGAGUAGAAACACUGUUUCAGCUAGAGAGUAGAAACACUGUUUCAGUUAGAGAAUAGAAAUACUGUUUCAGUUAGAGAGUAGAGAGUGCCCCCCACAAUUCAAGUCCCCUUCUAAAUCAGAACCAUUGCUCAUUGACCACUCCCUGGGUAGCACACCUCAGAGACCUGUAGAGUGGGGUGGCUGCCUGAACCCAGGUCUGGUUCCACUGCCAAGAUCAGCCUCGGCUUGUAGAGGGUUUCUGAGAAACAGGUGUUUGAGAACAGUGAAAGAAAGGACUCAAAGUCAAUCAUGGGGUAUAAGCUGAUGGCCUGUGCUCUGCUGGAGACAGCUUUCUCUAGACAUCUUCAGACAGCUCAUCCAGAUAGCUUAGUUCUCAUAGACCAGGCUUUUAUUUUACAUAUCAGUUGUUCACCCCAGGUUUCCUUCUGAUUAUCCCAUGAAUCAAUACUAUGAUCCCAGCCCCCUGAUUCUUAGAAAGAGACAGCAAGUAGAUUUUUUUCUUUUUUUUCCUUAACAUUGCAAAUGAAUUCAGAGACCUGUCUGUUUAUGUAAGCACAAACAAUAAUCUUAGCUAGGUGGGAUCUUGCCCUGUGAUCACCACUCCCCAAAUCUCUUUAUCUCCCUCCUUAAUAUUUUUCUGACAAGCAGGCUUAUAGUGCCACUGCAUCUCUUUUAGGUCCAUGAAACCCCUCAUAGAAGUCAUAUUGCAUUAUUAUAUUUUGCAUAGUUGAGAAAUUAUAUAUAUAUUAUAUAUUUUAUCUCAUGUGUAUUGGUGUCAGAUUCCUCUGGAGUUACAGACAGUUGUGGGCUGCCAUGUGGGUGCUGGGAAUUGAACAUGAGUCCUCUGGAGGAGCUGUCAGUGCCCUUAAAAAUUGAGCAACCUCUCCAGCUCCCAUGCACACUAUCCGAGUUCUUUCCCACAGCCUUAAGAGCUGUCCUAAAGGUCUUAGUGUUUACCAUAUUGCUUCCAGGAUUCAUGCUGUCCCAGAUUAUCAUAGAGUCAUAAACCUUGGCAGAGAGGAAAUUUCCCCAAAGGAAGAACAUAAAGAACAAAGAAGCCUUGUACCUAGCAACUGUCAACAGUUGUGGAGGCCCACACCCAGCUGGCUCUGCUCCAGAGGUAGAAAACCAUGUCACUGUCCCUUCCACAUGGCCAUGAAAGACUCAGUGCUCCACCCCUUCUAUGGUUCCAGUCUGGAUAACUCAUGUUCAUUCACACCUGUACUUGGCUCUAAAGCCUCCGGCAAGUCAUUCUAUAAAAAAAUUGAGGCAACUUACAAACAUAAUGAUGAAGCAAAUGGAUUGACUAGAUGCUAAGAGAGAGACACAAUGGGCAGAUUCCACUGGGGUUAACAAGACAGGAUGGCCCCUGACCAUCUCUGCUGUGACCAGAGAGGCUGUCCCCAGGACAGUUAACUCUGAGAGCAGGAAAGAUGCACUGAGAAUCAGUGGGUGGUGCUGUCUCUGAGAAGGGGCUUCCCUGGGCAACACUAGUAUGGUGGCCAGUAAUGAUGAGGACAAAGCAUAAACUGGUUCUGUUAUUCCUGCUGUUGUUGGUCAUUUCUGAAGUCUUAUGAAAAUCACCAACAGUGUUUUUGUCUAUAGUAAUGAGAGAGAGGGAGGGGCAGGACAGAAACUUUCUCCUAUUUGCAUGGAGGUGAGAACCAUCUCCCCAGGACCCCUUGUUUCCCAAGAAACUACUGAAGUCUGGCUAUUCUGUAUCCCAAGGGUUAGAAAACCCUUGCUUUGAUCUCAGUGGAAGGAGAAUUAUCAGAAAGGAAGGAAGGAAAGAAGGAAAGAAAGGAGGGAGGGAGGAGAGAAGAGGAAUGGAGAAAGAGGCAGACAGAAGAGAGGAGGAAGAGAGAAAAUAGAGAAGGAAGGAGACAGUGAGAGUGGGAUUGUGGAAGAUAUGGAGGCAGAAAGGUAGGGGGAGGAGGGAGGGAGAAGGAGGGAAAGGGAGAGGGAGGAAAGGUUUUUGUUACUAUCUGCACUGGAAUAUUGUUAGACGAUAUACAAAUAUGAUAGAUAAGGGCAGCCUCUUCUUGUGCAUCGAGGCUGAUUAUUCUCCACCUUGCAGGAGAGCCCCUGACCCCCGUGAGCAAGUACAUCCCACUUAUCAAGGGUGUGGCUCUGAUCUGCAAACUGCCUGGACCUCAAUCUCAGCCCUGCCACUUCCAAGCUGUGUGAUGCUAAACACACAGGUUUCUUAACCUUUCCCUGCUGCACUUCUCUCAUUAGCAAAAGCUAAUCGUACAUACAAUUUCUAGUUCUCCACCUCGGGGCUGGCCUGCCUCCCUCAGCUGUGAGUCAGUAAUCCAGAAUCUCCUCCACAGGCUGUGGUGUUGUUCAGAUAACAGGUGGCUAAGUAAGGUUGGAGGUGAAACACCCAUGUCUCGACUGUUUGGGGUAGACAGAGCUCUCAGUGGUGUCUAGCCAAGAGUCCUUUUCAGUCUGGGGUGCUAGUAGUCACACCUUUCCCUAAUGUGGAUGAUGUAUAAGCCUAUGGGAGCACCUAGUGUGUGUGUUUGUGGGGGGGGUAGUCAGUGAACAGCUUCUUCUAGCAGACAUUCUCUUCAUACAAUCUGUUUCACCCUAGAGUAAAGGGACAUCACAGGCUUUCAGGUCCUACAUGGAGAUCUCUCAAGACUCUCAUGGCAAUUGUAAGGGUCGGGAGUGUGGAGACACAAGGUGGGAGCUGGCAGCAGCAGAGGGAGCCCAGUCUUCAGCUGGAAGACUUUUGCCUUCUGAGAACUUCAUCUCUAGGGUUUAGUCCCAAGAUGUUUACAUAAGGCUGUUCGGUAUAGCUAGUGGCCAUACCCUACAUGGCAUUUGCAGCCUGCCCUAUGAUCAGACUUCAGGAGGUAUUGACAAUGCUUGUCAUGGGUUGGGUGGGCAAAGGACAGUGGUGUGUAUGUGGGAGGUGUCUUGGAUAAGGAAGGGAGUUCCAAACAAGGAACACCCAGGCCUGCUACACCAAGGUCAGGCAGUCCACAACAGCUGAUAGGAGGCUGUUGCAUGGGAUUCAACCAGAUUAGGACCUCCUUCCUAGUGAAUGGUACACCAGGAACAUACAGCGACAGCCAGGUGGCUAAAGGAAAGCAUAAGAACAGGACAAACAAGAAGCAUGUCAGCUUGACACCCCCAGGGUGAAGCUACCCUGCUACAGGAAGCUAUGGCCACACUAACACAGCAGAAGAACAAGAAAAUGGCCUCAAAGUCCACCUUGUAAAAAUGAUAGAUGCCUUUAAAGAGGAAAGAAAUAAAUCCCUCAAAGAAAUACAGAAAAAUGCAGUCAACCAAGCAGAGGCCUUUAAAGAGUAAAUUAUUAAUUUCUUGAAAGAAAGAAAGAAAGAAAGAAAGAAAGGAAGGAAGAAAGGAAGAAAGAAACAAACAACAGAAAAAUACGAUUAAAUGGGUAGGGGUGUUGGAUAAAAGUGUUUGUGACCUGAAAAUGAAAAUGGAGGCUAUAACUAAAAGGUAAUGUGAGGAAUCCUGUAGAUGAAAUGCUCAGGAAAGAACAGGACCAACCAAAUUAAACACCAACAACAGAAUAUAAAACUGGUUAAAAAAGAAAAAAGGUCUCAGGAUUAGGAAAGACGAUGGAAGAAAUGGGUGCAUCAGUCAAAGGAGAUGUUAAACCUGAAAGGCCCAACACAAACCAUCCUGAAAACGUAGGCUACUAUGAAAAGACUUAAAUUAGAAUAAUAAAAUAAUAAAAUAAUAAAAAUAGAAGAUGAAGAGUCCCAACUCCAAGGACCUGCAAAUAUUUUCAGCAAAACCAUAGGGAAAAAAAAAAAACAACCCUUAAACCUGAAGGAAGAGAUGGGUGUACACACACAAGAGGUUACUGAACAGCAGUUAGAUUGGACCAGAAAAAAAAACCUUCCCACCACAUAAAAAUCAAAAGGGUCAAUGUACAGAACAAAUAAACAAUAUUACAAGGAGCAAGAGAAACAGGCCAGGUGAGAUUAAAAAAAAAAAAAAUCAGGACCUUCCUUUUGGUUCCCAUCUGUGCCUGGGAGUAGAUCCUGGGUUCCAGCCCCACCCACACCCCACCCACAGACAACUUGACCCCCAGGAGUUCUUAUGCUUCGAGGCUCAUAGAUGAGCCACCCCCCACCCCCCAUCCCCACACUAGCCAAAUACCUGGCCUAACUGGGACCCCUGGGGAGUCCCAGAAGAAUCAAGGUUAAUUUGGAGAAGGAAGUAAGGGAGAAAAGCGAGAGCAUCUCAGACACACAUAAGUUGGUAGGGAGUGCCAGGAAAUGAAAGAAUCAGAUUGUUGCAGAACAGCACGUAGGUCUCUGGUGUGGAGGUUCUGGAUGGAACAAGGACCAGCUGAAGAUACUAUUCGAAUAAUUUAAGUGGGAUUCUUUCGGGUGGAAAGUGGCACACGGUAGGGCCGGGAAGAGUGCAAAGACUCGUCUUCUGAUUGGAGGCCAGCUAAGACUCUUUCCUGGCAAUGUCACAGACAGGAUGGAGCAAAGGGGUGAGUUCAAAUACCGUGUGUACCCAUGUGUGCGCACAGCCCAGCAUGUGCAACCUGCCCUGGUUCUUUUCCAUGUCUACAUUGCCUUGGUGGCAGGUGUGGAAGCUGGCGAGCUCCUCGCUGUGAUCUGUUGAGUCUUGAAACUGCGGCACGGUUUCCUAAGGAGCCUUGUGGAACGAGGUGCCCUGGGGUUGACGGGAGCCAGACACAGGUGUCCAGAGGCUGGGUGACUUAGUCCAGGGAGUUGGUUUCUAAACUGGAACAUUUUCCCUUGGUUUUAUAAAGGGGGGGAUGGAUUGUACCCAGGAGAGCUAUUUGGAUGGACAUUCAUUUUAAGCUCAGUUCUUUAGGCACAGAGUGAGGGAGGUGCUGGGGAGAUUUGAUCUGUAGCCUGUAGUGACUGCAGCUUCCCUUCAGAUUGUUGGAGAGCUGGAGGGAAAAUAAGGACUCCGUAGGCUGAGAAGGAGACACCUGACUCUUCAGCUCUGUGAGAAAGAGACAGGGAGGCAAGAGACUCAAGCCUGGGACAGGGAGGACAUAGGAACACUCAGACAGGGAUGGGGGUUGCAGGGGAAGGUGCCUAAGUUGGGACAAGGAGGUUACAGGGUGCUAGGGAGGCCCCAUGCACUCUGUUUCUAGCUAUCGUUAUCUAUCUAUCUAUCUAUCUAUCUAUCUAUCUAUCUAUCUAUCUAUCUAUCUAUCUAUCUAUCGCUUUGAGACAAAACCUUUUCAUGUAGCCCAUGUCAGCUUUGUGUUUCUAUUGACCUGGUAAGAGCUAAGACAGGACAUUGUGAGACAGUCGGCAGUGGGACAAUAAGACCACCCACUUCCAUGUGGUGCUGCCCUCCAUUCCUGUGGUGUCUCUUAUUCUCUGACUGUAAGAAAAGCAGGAUGUCCAGUCAGGGACACAGAUGGCUUUGGUGUGUGUGUGUGUGUGUGUGUGUGUGUGUGUGUGUGUGUGUGUGUGUGUGUGGUAUGUAUGUGUGUGUGGUAUGUGUGUAUGUGUGUGUGUGUAUUGUGGUGUGUGUGGUAUGUGUGUAUGUGUGUGUGUAUUGUGGUGUGUGUGUGUGUAUUGUGGUGUGUGUGUGUGUGUGUGUGUGUGUGUGUGUGUGUGUGUGGUGUAUGAACAUGUGUGUGGGUGUGAGAAGCAUCAAAAGGAUCAUCAGCAGACCAGAGCACAGGAUCAGAGUUUCUGGGCAGGGUGGGUAGGGCAAGGUCCUGCCUGUGUCAGCCCAGAGGAUGCUCCAUCAGACUCCUGUCAGCCUGCAUAGCUGGAGCAGCAAUCCUGGUUGCACUCACCGAGGAGGAGCCAAGAGCAGCCCCAAGACAGAGUAAGUAGAGCUGUGGAGGACCCGAGGGCUCGGUGGGAGGCUGAAGAAGCCAGGGAUGCUCGGUCAGACUCGGCCUUAUAGUCUGAGAUAAAAGAGAAAUGGAAGAUGGGGUAUCUCUGUGCCUGCCUUUCCCUGUCCUCCAACCCCUGCUUGAUAUUUCUGUCCGAUGAACCCUGCCAUCUCAAAGCUACUGGUAGAGACUUGAAAUUCGAAAUAGAGUAAUUAAAGGUGUGAGCACAAGGACCUGUGUGGCCCAUAGUUUGCCCCACAGGGUGUGGGUAGUGGGUGUCUGGUAUCCCAGUGGCCAGCCAGGAGAUGGGAAGGGAAUCUCAGGUUGAUAGACCCACAGAGGGAGGCAGGUGGGUUUAGACAAGAUGCAAAUCUUAUUUCUGCUUACAGGUGCUCCCUUAGAAUGCCGUGGAAAGUGUGGAGCACACAGGCCCAGGACUCGGACAACAGAGGUAGGGAUCAUGGAAACUCUCUUGUUUUCUCAGCCGACCGACCUGACAUUCUGAGGAUAAGAGGUAGCUUUGCAGCUGGUUGAGGAGGAUUUGGGAUGGGCGAGCAGCUCCUCCAAUGGCCAUUGCCCCCUCUCUACGUCUCUAGACUCAAGAAAACUCCCAGCUUCUGGUACAUAUGCCACUCCCGGAGAACUUAAGAAACUUCCUUGAUCUCAGCCUUCUCUGAGUGGCAGUGGGCCCCAUGGUUUAAGCCCUAAAGGGACCCUCAGGAGUUGGCAGGAUCCCUUGCUGCCUUGUGGUCCUGGUGUCCUUUCCAAGGCAUAUACUCUGAGCGAUGCAGCUCUUUUCCUUUCUGGAGCAUCAAAGGGGUAAGUCAAACCAUGGGUGUCUACACAGAAGGUUAGAAGGCCUUGGAGGAGUCACCAUAGCACCUGAGGCUCUUGUCACCUCUGGCCAUUCCAUCCCUGUGACCAACCUCAGCAGACUGCCUUAACCAGAAGUAGGGAAGUCAGGCAGCCAGAUGGCCAAUGUGGAAUUCACCAUGUCCCCACCUCCUCACCCCCACCAUUUCUUCUUGCUGCUGUGAGCCCCUCCCAAUCCAGAGCCUGUGGAAAUCACCAUGUUGCUCCAUGACUUAUUUCUGUCUCCCUCCCAGGUUUCAAUGGCAGGGCCUGUGACUUACUAAUCUCUUUAAAGACAAGAAGACGAGCCCUGCAGGAGUAGCUGAUACCAUUUGGUACCAUGAGGGGGCAUUGAUACCUCACAGGACCAGAAAUGUGCUCUAAAGAGCUUUUCUUUUUAUUGGGAGAGCCAGCCUCCUCCUGUGGCCAUCCCAAACCUCUGUAAACUGUGUCUCACCUGUACCAGUUCCUUACUCAGAAUCCUCAGAAGUCCCUCUUGGUUUCCAUGACCCUGGAGGCAGGUGUUUCAUCCGUGUGUAUUGGUGCUCAAAACAGUGCUCAGAGGAACAAGAGUUGAAUCACCAUCCACCUAUGGAUCCCGAGAAGUUCAGCCAUACUUGGGUGCCACAUAUUCUCAAUCCACCAGAAAGCGGCACCUCCCCCCAUUUGUCGAGGCUAGUCUACUUCUGACCUAUGGUAUAUCUGCCAUUCUCUUGGCACAAGCUUUGGAGGUUGGAGUGCAUCUUCCAUCCCCAGCCAGGCCUUGAGCUCCUGGUAGAUAGGAAGGAUGCGUGUCCAAGCUUAUGUUCAGCUCAGCCACUUGGUGCCCAGUGGAGUAGUCCCAUAGUGUCACUAAAAGCUUUGUGACUUUGUGACUUGAUCCUCACCUUCAGCCCAGUCCUUCAAGUUCACGACUCUCUGGUUUCUGACUGACCAUAGCUCCUUCUACUAGCCAUUCAACUACAGUAAGCUGGGGCUGAAGCCUGGGGCUGAGGACAGGUCAGGAAGCUGGGAAGUAAAUUAUGUUCCAGAGGAAGUGAUGCAAAUUGAGAAGGUCAAUGACCCUGGGGUCUUUGGACAGCAGUCAGUGAACUGGAUCUCUUGGCACUCAUUUUGUAUGCAUAAACUGAAUCACAAUAUCUACCCAUUAAAGGGAAGUUUUGGAAAGAAGAUUGAACUAGAUGAUGCUUGGGCCUUUCCCUCUGGGACUGGCACAGCUUAGUCAUAGCUAAGGGAAAGUCACAUCAUUAUUGGUAGUGGUUCUAGCUCAAUUGGAGCAGCAUAGAAGUUUCUGGAUUGAAAAAUCCAAUCUGAGGUCUGAUAAGAUGCUGUGUGGCAAAUGGGUCUACAGCCAUGGGACCUGGCCAGAGCCUUAGGGGCAGAGAAACAGCUACCCAGAAACAACUCAGCCUCAGGCUCUCUGCCUCAGACCUGCAUGCGACAUCCAAGAAUCUGCUUUGAUUUUCUCUAUUUUUCCUUCUCUUCUUUCCUUAGGCUUUUUCAGGGUUGGGGAUUGAACCUAGGGCAUCUCAAACAGACUCUAUCACGGAGUUACAUCUUCAGUUCUUACUGUUUAUGUUUGAAACAGAGUUAGUAACUCUCUGGAGCUGCUCUUAAGCUCACUAAAACAGGCUUUAAAUUUUUAGUCCUCCUGCCUCAGUCUCCCCAGUACCUAGGAUGACAGGCUAAGAGUCUGAGUUUUCAACAAACGCAAUCCUCCCACAGAGAAAGAUCCGGCUUAGCGGAUUUGGAAUUCCCUUUUUAUUCACACAAGGUGCUUCUCUCCUUCUCUCCCAAGCUAACAGUCAUUUGCCUGCAGACAUUGUGGGAGCAGAAAGUCCACAGAAACAGCCAUUGGGAAAGGCUGACUUCCCCUCAUUAGCCCUGUGCUCAGUAGGAUGUAGCAUCGCUGAACUUCUCCUUUACGCCCAGCAGAUGGCAACAGCGUGCUGCUGUUGCUGCUGCUAAUGUUCGAAUGGCGCCGAAUUAUUUGCAAGGUAAAAAUCCUCCAACUGCUCCUAUAUGGAGUUCUGUCAGGCAGGCCUGGGUGGCAUUCCAGGUAUCCAGUGCAGGCACCUUCCUUCAGCUGGAUGUAGACGUUUCGUCCCAGUACCCGGCUCCUCCUUCAUCCAUGCACUUGCAGCGAGGUGGGUACCUCCCACCCAUUAGCGGCUAGAUUCUGGAGCAAAUCAAAACGGAAUACUGAACGCUUUAAAUAGCAAUAUGUGACAAAGAUCAUCAGACAAGGUCAUCUUUACAUGCCAGUUGGGAGGAGAGCCCAGCGGGGGAACCCAGAGGAUCUGCAGGACCAUGUGGAUAGAUCAGAUCACAACGCACAUGUGGUAGUGUAGAAAGAAGGGGACUCUUUCUUAUGAACCUUUUGCCCCGAUCAUUGCCUAGGUUAUGGGAGGAGGCAGGACAGCAUGUCUGCAGGAUCCUAGUCUCUGAAACCAGACUACUCAAAUCCCACAUUAAUUGUGUGCCUUUGGAUAAGAGUCUAAACAUCUGGAGCCACAGUUUCCUUAUCUGUAAGGCGGAGGCCAUGGGAGCAUAAAUUGCCGACUACUUUGGAUUGCUGAAAUGAUUUUAGAUUCAUUUAAUGUACUUGGCAUACAAUAGGUGCUAAACAGAUGUUCGAUUGCUGGCAUUUUUCUUUUCAGCUUUUCCUUCAGUAAAACAAGUAAAUUGCCUUGCCCUUUCCAAGGGGGUAUGUGAAGUUCCAGGAGACAAGCUUAGAGAAAGAAGGCCCCUAGAAUGGACGCCCUCACUCAUCUCUCUCCAGGUCUUCCUUCUGUAAGAACUGACAGCAGCUCCAUUUCCGGUGUGUCUACAGCCACACCAUCACGCUCUUCAAUUGGUGGGCUGGUGUCCAGCAUGUUCUGGCCUGGAAGGAUCAGUUUGUGACCAGCACUGCUCACUCUUUCUGCCAUCUCUUCACCAAGUAGCCCUUUCCGAUGGGCUUCAAAGCAACCAUUGCUUCCUCCUGUAUCUCGGCCUCAUCAUCCUUUUCUUCGGCCUCCACCAGCAGACAUCCCCAAGAGACACUGGAAGAUGCCGGCUUAAAGAACAGGACCAGGGACCGAUACAAACAGGGCUGUCCCCAUGGAGACCCUGGCAGAGGACAGUGUAGCUCUCAGCAGAUUCCCAGAACUGCAGUUCAUUGACUUCAGGAGGGAUGCAAUGGAUUACGGCUUCAUACCCACUUCUCACAUGGAUUUGUAACCAUUUGCUAACCUCCUGCCUCUGUGAGAUAGAGUCCUCUAAUGAGACUGCCUUCUCUUCAGUGGUCACUGUAUUUGACAAAUGUGUCUCUGGGGCUCAGAUUCUGCAGUUAGUGGUCACGAUCACCGGUAAAAGAAACAAGCCUCGGUGUGGAGGAAGUCAGGGAUGGCUGGCUAUCUGAUCUGCAGUGGGAAAUUACUUGGUUUCGGAUGUAGUGAUGAACAGUUACCCCUCCCUUUGACCCCUACAUAGCUCUUGGCUCACCACCCUCUGUACGCUUAUCACCGCAGUUAUGUGGUUCCCUGGCGAGUUACGGGGCUGAGAGAAAUGGCCACGUGCACAGACCAGAAUUGUUUUCUGUCAGCGUGGACUUCUCUGCUUUGUUCACUGGUCUCUUCUGUAAAUAUCCACAAAUAAACUUAUCUAAAAUCAA